CAUUCCUCUGUCAUAUAUAAUCAUAAUAUGAUCGUGUUCUAACCCGUGUAGUGGUCCAUCAUACAUAAACUGUCCAUCGGUCCAUCCUUUGAAAAACUCGUCAAAUCAGAGGGAAUAUUUAUGGGCUCAUUCUGUUAACAUUUGGAAUAAAUGGUUUGCUUUUGCCCGAAGGAAAUCAAUGUUAGGUUAUGCGGAAAAAUAAACUGUACAAUGGAAUCGGAAACUCACAACCACAAAUGUAAAAUGUAGCAUAAAUAAAAUGAUAAAAAACACCGGGAAUUGACGUGGUUCGGCAAAGUGCCUACGUCCACGGGGCAACAACAACAAAGAACCUCCACUAUACGAAUAAAGGUUACAUGGAGAGAAACACUACUUCCAGACUCACACUUGAAGGGAUACACUCUCACACAUACUUUAUUUUGCUACACAUGCACUCAAACUCUAUACUUAGGAGUUUUCUAUCUCACUCUUGAUAAUCACACAAGAUGAGCUCACCGGUUCUUCUAUAUUUUGCACCAUUGCAAAUGCCUCUAUAUAUAGGCAAAUAUAUGCAUGCAUUCUUCAGCACGUCCAUCACUUAGAAAAGAAUUCCACAAGUCUUCUUUGUUUCAUGCUCAAUGUUUCCAUGCCACAUUAAUGCAUGCUCUUCUAUUUCAAUCUUUGCAGCCACCCAUAACACCUAUAUACAUAGGUUGCUCUCUUGCAUUUCAACAAAUGCAUGCUGCACCAACUAUGUUAGCUAUAGAAUAGCAACUUGCCUCAUUGUAGAUUGAUGGGCAUAAGGAAAUUGAUUUAUAGAACAUUGAUAAAGGAGAAACAACGAGCAAAUUAUGGAAUUUAGGAACAGACAGUCAUAUUUUCUCUUAUAUAUACUGCAGUUAAAUACUUAAAUUACAUGAUGUCAUGAUUCUAAAGGACUUUUAGAUCAAAGAAAAUUAUAUUGAGGUGCUGAGAUCGUUAAUCGGUAACGUUCUCAACAACGCAGCUUGAAUACAUUAUCGUUAAUCGAGAAGAUGUGAAGCCUCUUGCUUGUUAAUUCAUAGAAUCUUCAAUCUUGUGCCUCUUGAAAAAAGAUUUAUGGUGCAACUAAACUAGCUGAGGAUUCUGUUAACCAUAUAAUGGUAUUUAGGUCUUUAGUUAUCAAUCUCUACCCUAUAAAUAACAAGAGAUGUACUGUUCACCAUUAUCAAUGCAAUACAAGAUGCAGACAUUCAACCCAUUUAUGUGUUUUCCUUUUCGCUUCUGCUCUUUCAAUUCCAAUAACUCAUGAAUCCUAUCAUGGAUUAUUCUUAUUUCUUAGUAGCAUGGAGCCAUGGAUCUUAUGAAACGAUCAGGAAAGACUAAAUUUUAUCUUCAGAAUCAGUUGAAAUUGUCAUUGCCUGAGCUUAUAAAGUACAACUCUAACACAAUAACAUGCAUGCGAUAAAAUCAUCUUCUUCUAUUUCUAGUUUUUUUUUUUUUCUUCUAUUUCUAGUUACAUGGUAGAAGUUGCAGUAAAAAAUCUUUGCUCGUUUUCUGGAAAUGAGCCAUAUUCUUGGCAUAAGCUAGUGCACCAGUGAUCGAUCCACACCAUAAAAGGUAUGAAGGAGCUUCGGCUAACCCACAUCAUCAAAUAUAGUAUAUAAACCUGCACACAACACUCGCGUAUAUAAAAUGAAAAUCCACACUUUCCACUUGGGAAAUCAUGACAUUUGAAAGUAGGUAAUUAAAACAUGCAUGCAUGCCUGGUUUUAGUUUCCGUAUGCUACUGCUCAACAUUAAUCAUUAAGAGAAGAAAACAAGUAAUAUUAGUUAUGAAUGAUCACGCAAGUAAGUACUGCUAACGAGUUUCGUUUGUUUCUGUUUAUGUUUUCAACAUGCUCAAAUUAGAAUUAAGAUCGCAAAUAAGGUAAUAGUUAGCACUAACCAUACUACCAGCAGUUAUUCAAGAACCGUGCGUGCAUGGACAAAAGAAUCAAAAGAAGCGAACGGGGUACAGAAGAAUUGCCGAGCAAAUCUCCUUUGGCAUUGAACACACUACAAGAAGAUAAUGCAAUGCUGUCAUGCAUGAUCAACAAGCAGAAGCAUUUCUAACUGUCAGUGGCUACAUGCCAGAGGAGAACUUGCCCUGUAAUCUUUGCAACUGCACCAAGCAAAUGUUCGAAGUUGCAGAACUGUAGACAGUGGAGGGUGCUAUUUAUCAAAGGCUAGAGGAAAGCAUAUGCUGUGGAUCCUAGGAACAAUGCUUUCGUUUGUGUGAUCGAAAAGCGUACGUACCAGGGACUUAUCCAUACGUACUAACCAAACUUCAUGCAUGGUGUAGAAUUUUUGCGCGCCUGAUCAUCUACAUGAAGGUGUUACUGUUCCUGGUAAGGUGAUGAAACUACGUGUCAGAACCUCCUGGAUGAAUGAGUAUAAUACAUUUAAUCAUCAAAUUCGUAUUAAUAGGGUUAUAUAUGCAAUUACAGCUUAUUCAUUAAGCCUUUAGCUCUGUAAAAACUAUCAGAAAAAAAUAUCAGCUCCAUUUUCGUUUUCCUUAGCUUUCUCUGUUCUUCAUUUUCGUUACCAUAAAAUUAACGCUUCGCAGAUUCUACUGAAUGAAUUGAUCUUCUUUUUUUUCUUCAUUUUUUUCGUUGGGAAUAGAUCGAUGUAUGGUUGAAGACUAGUGUCAAGUGUAACUUUUAAAGUUGUUUGUUCAAAGUACAGCAUAUAUGACUGGAAGUUGAUCUCUAUAAAUAUCUUCUCACAAGAUGCAGACGUUUGGCCUCAGUUAAUAUCCCCAAAUUAAACUGAGUUCUAAAGGAUAUCCUUUGGAACAAUACCCUGUACGAGCUCGAGGGGAUAAGCGCUUUCACAUUUUGUUCCUCCGAUAUCGAUCCCCUCCAGUGUGUCAUAUAUAAAUUAUACUGUAAAUCUGUAUUGUCAACUCAAAUCCAGUGUGUGUAUAUUGGUACGUAGCAUAAUUCUUCCUGCUGGGAACAAAUUCAGCCACAAAUUCGAUCAAAAGAUGCGCGCGGAAGCUCGAGGCUGCUGCCUCUUCAUAAUAUUUGUUCUUUCUCUUAUUGAUCUUUUGGCACGCAAUUAUUUCAACCACGUCCCUAUUCCAAAUCCAGAUUGUAUAUUGGUAUAUGCAUAAUUCUUUCCAGGGAACAAAUUCAGCCACAGAUUAUUCAUAAAGUGCAUAUAGGAGGAUAUGCGAGCUAGCUGCCUCUUCUUCAUCUUUUUGUUCCAUGAUCUUUUGAUCUUUGGGAACUAAAUAUUAUGCUACGAACCUUGAUAUUUGCAUGUGUGGUACACUUCUCUUGCUUAGAAUUUUCUUCGAAACUUGAUAAUGGCUAAUGAGACCACUUGUGUGGUACCUGAUUUGUAUGUCUUGAGUACGGUAAUUAGACCACACUAGAUUAAUAUACCAGAACAUAGUUUUGAGAAAUACCAUGAUACGUGAUCAUGGGAAUCGUGAUUCCAAGGACGAACAAGUAAAAAGCAAACUCUGGUUCACAAGCAUUAAUCUAGCUAGCUAGCAAAUGAGAGAGAGAUGUCAAGCACAAAUGGACAAGCAAAAUGGAUUGGAACCCGAGCUUAAAGGAUGGAAUAUACUAACUAAAACUAGCAGACAUGUAAAAAGGAGUGGUAACAGUAAUCAAUCUAUAUCUAACACGACAUAGCUAUACUAACUCGAUAGAACAAACAAAAAUAGCCAUUUAGGUAUGUAUAUAUUAUGAUUUAAUAGUGAUUAAUUUAAUUAACUGUGCUCAUGCUGAAAUCCAAAAUGGCUUUUUGCCUUUCGGUUUGUUCUUGCGUUGUCCAUGAAUGUUCGUACAUGGAGAAUGAAAGGUACAAUUAUUUAAGGAGAUGAAGUGUCUUAUCUCUCGGGUUAUAGGCAAGGAAUUAAGGAUAGUGCUACAUGUUUGGAAUUUACUAGCUAAUCACAUGCAAGAAGGAAUGAGCCAAGCAUGUCUACUGAGGUUAGACAAAGAUGAGGACCGCAUGAGAUAUUUUAUCAAACAUCUGGAGGUUCUUUAGCUAAUUCAGGUUAUAUCUUACAUUAUUUUUGUUAACUGCACGUGAGAUUCACACGCAACGUUAAAGUUCUGUUAGUCAAUCAAAUUCUUCGGAUUCAAACUUGUGACUGUAGUGAUGACAUGUCAAAACUCUAACCUGGUUUAACUGAAGAAUUUUUGAUCGACCAUUAUUUAUUAGAACUGUUAAACCAACACAUUUGAACCACUUCAUACAUAAUUUUUUAUUUUUUUGGAAGGCUUCAUACAUAAGUUUAUAUGUAUUAUUUUUUUGCCUUUUUUUUUUUUUCCUACAUUGAACUAUCAUUGUCAUGGCCGUGAGAUAUGUUGCAUUACAAAGGGGAAAGAACAAGAUAAAGAAUAAACUCAGAAAAAUUUUGUAGUGUCAGAGCAUGUGAACUCCUCCAUCCAGUGUUAAACAAUAUGCGUAGCCGGCCAGUGCUGCCUGCACCAAUUAUAUAAGCACAGAGUUUGCAGGGGGAGACAAACCGAAACCAGAGGAUAGACCCGUGAAUGAUCAAAGAAGACUCUAGCUGCUUGUAUAAACACAGCACUACGUACUCUAAUUGUUUGUCUCUGUUGAGAUAUAUAUCCCACGUUCGGAAUUGGGACAUUGUCUGUGGAUUUAUAAAGGUUUGGGCCACUCCACCUAUUGUUAAUUAGUCUUAAAUGUAAACCUUAGACUACUUUAUCAUGGUAUCAGAGCGGGUUACUCACGUCCACGUGUGAAGCCCAAUAACCACAUGCACUCCACGUCACCCAAAAGUUGUCCAUGUGUAUGACUUGAAAAUUCGCCACACGUGAUAUACUACUCUCUAUUGUCUCUACAGCUUCCUCCUCCUCCUCCUCUUGAUUAUUGACUGACUCAGUUUCUGACCCAUGUUUACAUAUGAACGACCUCUGCAUAUCUCUUUCCCACUUCGAUUACUCCCCAUGCAUAUUUGAACUGUAAAAGUGCAUGGGACAAGUAUGUAGCUGUUGUAGUCCAUUCCUUUCUGUAAGUUCCAGUUUGGCAUUAUUGCUUAUAUCUUAGUAUAGCACUGCGUAUCCAUUGGCUAGCUAGCCUCGACCUGCUUCCUGUGGGCUGUGGCACAGCUCGUAACUAUUUCAAUCCCAACAAUAAUGAACAUUUUGUCUUAACGUUGGUGUCUUGGGUAUUUCCGACUCUCCUCCCAAUUGAGGGAUGGGUUAGUUACUGGAUCCCUAUAUAUGCCUUACCUAUAGGUUCAUCUUUUCAUAAUUUAGCUCUGUAUAUAUUCUCGAUCAUAGCUAGGGCUCCUAUAUAUCAAAUGAUUGAGUUAACACAAGGAUACUGUACACCAAGAUAAUACCCACUAGCGGAGAGACGAGAAUUCUCCAUAGAGAUUGACAGAGCAUCAACAUUGUUUGGAUUUUGGACCCAAAUUAAUCAUACAUUAGUCGCAAAGAAAAAAAAAUUAAUCAUCCUAAAACCUAAGAAAGUAAGCUCGAAGGCGCCAAGAAAGAUUGUUACACCGAACAUCACCUAUUUACUCACCUUCCAGUGUAUUCUUGUCCUACAUCAUGUAUAUUUACCGAAGACAGAUAUAUCUGAAAAGGUUUGCAUGCAGGCAAAACCAUUUCCGUUGGCUUGUUGGGAAGAGUACAAAUAUAUAUGCACUAUAUGAUGAACUUUGGUUCGUCUCAGUUGUCGUGUACCAUCUGAAAAGACCGCUAUAUACGACUAGCUGAUACGGAAAAGGCUCGACAAUUAGCAACCUCACCAGGCCACUGUAUACUGGACAGUCGAGAAAUGGUUCUAUGUCGACUAAGGAUGAGAAAUGGUUUUGACAGCGUUAGAUGUAAUAAUGCACUCGAGCUCACUCUGUUUUGACAAUAUUCCGUUUCGGCCAUUUUUCAAACUCUUGAACCGUUAAUGAAAAUUCAUAGUCUGCACUAUUGCCAAUUCAUAUAGGACAUGAAGAUAAUAUCUUGGAAAUUUAAGAUUACGAGACAUAGCCCCUAAGCUCCUAUUCUCUCUCUCUNNNNNNNNNNNNNNNNNNNNUACUCUCUCUCUCUCUCUCUCUCUCUCUCUCUCUCUCUCUCUCUCUCUCUCUCGGCAAGCUAUAAAAGACGCCAGGCUUACUCACACAGUAUACUGUAUCUCACAAUACAUAAAUUUUCAAAGACGAAGCAUAAAAGUGAGAUAGAAACAGUGAGGAAGAAGAUGGGAUCUUGGGUGAGGAAGAGACUGCCAUUGCGCCGAAAGCUUCAAACUCAAAGGAGCUUCACAAGGAGGAAAUCCUUACGUACUGCAAAAGUAUAUCACUAGCCACCCUUGUUAACUAUAUGCUUAUUUUCUUCUCCGAUCUGCUGCUAAUAUAACUUUUUAAUGUUGUGUGUUUUAUAUAUGAAGGUCAGGAAGAGUUCCACUGUCAUCGAUGCUAUGCUCCACAUUUACCUACUGAAACGCAAGCUUGAAGCACUCCAUAAAGAGUGCUUAGAUCUCAUGGCCAUCAAAACAAAGUACUUAGACCUAAUCAAACAUAUUCAUAUGCCCAAGGUGAGAAGAAAUUUCCACCUUUAAACUUUGAUUUGUUCAUCUUAACUCUUAUCUCUUAUUAAUUUCCAGUAUAUCACAUUAGGAUGAUGUUGGACAGGAAGUGAAGGUGGAGAAGAUUGAGGAAGGAUUUCGUGUAAGAGUGACAUGCGAGAAAGCAGAUGACACUUUGGUUUCCAUCUUAGAAGCGUUUGAUGAAAUGGGUCUCAAUAUUCUGCAAGCUAAAGUUUCCUGCAAUAGCUACUUUGCCAUGGAAGCCAUUGCAGCUCAUGAAGCUCAAAAUCAAGAAUACAAGCUGGAUGUGACAGGUGUGACACAGGCAAUUAUUAAGGCCAUCAAGAAGCGAGAUUAAAGCUACAACUGAUCUUGAAGUUGAUCAAUAAUUAACUUUAGUUAGUGCUAAUCAUCAAUGUCAUGAAGACAUAAAUUGUUGUGUGCGUUUCUGAUUAAUUUUCAGUGUGUUGUGAUGUAAUAUAUGUAUUUGUUAAGUAAAAUUAUGGUACAUGCAUAAUGCAUGCUUCUCGUACACUAUAGUUUUUUACCUUAAUGACAACUCAUUCAUUGCCGAAGUAGUAAAACAAAAAUCUUCCUUAAGAUAAUUAAUUAAGGUUCCUAUUGAGUACAUUGUUCAAGUUUGAGUGAAGUGGUGAAAAGAUAUCAAAUAUUUCAGAUGCUCUCUUCAUUGUUUUGGUCUAAUUUGGAUUUUUCACUUGUUUUCAGAACAAUGGAAUAAAUAUGUUCAAGUUUGUGUGUGUUUUGUCACUUUUGUGUGAGGAGGAUGGGCUUGGAAACUCUAGGAGAAGCCUAUAAUCUGAGAAAAGCAUCUUACUAAAGAAAUGAAACUUGUUCUUGCUAAUAUAGCUGGAAAGAUAAUUUAUGUGAAGCCCAACAGCAAGGCGCAACACUAGAGAAAAACAAAAGAAAAGCCCAAAGAACCAAAUAACAAUGACAAACCCAUUUCCUGGCAAUCAAACUAUAGCUGGUGCAUUGCAGCUGCAUCCGUCUAAAUUUUCUUCUUUUUAUAGUUUCGGUUUAACAUUUCUUCCAUCUCACGACUCAUGACUCAUGCAUGGAAGAUCAGUGACCCCAAUUACGUACAUAGUUCCCAUAUUUCAAACCUUCCAAGUAUUAGAUGUAAGACAACGACUUAAACCUUCCAAGUAUUAGAUGCAAGACAAUGACUCCAAUCUAUAUAUGUGUACGUGAAUAGGUUAUAUACGAUCUUUUAUGAUACAUACAUGAAAUUCUCAAAAUAAGACAAAAGGAUAUAAACAAAUGUUCAUAGUAGCUAUAUAAAGAUACACAUAAAGAAUGUAUUACGAUCCUCAAAUUGAUUCUCAAAAUAUUAGAAACUAUCCGGAUCUCACUUCAGAGAUACUCAAUUGCCAGUCCGGACAAUAUAACAUGUGCAGGCAGAACUGCAGGCAAAGGGUUUCAUUGCCAUGUCCAUCAACAAGUAGGCAACUAUUGUAAAUGUCGAAAAUAUCUAGUUUAAUUCGCAACCCCAUUUGUAAGUACUAAGUACAAGGGGGCUGGCCUAGCCUGCAGCUUGACCCCCAAUUAUUAGUUUAAUCAUCCAAGUGAUGAUAGGGACUCACUCGAUGACGAAAUGCUGGAUAUUUCUCAGUUUUUCAUUCAGAAAAUUAGGCAGAUGCCUUUAGGGGUGCAAAUGGGGGCGCCUUCUUACUUCUUGGUUCCGUUCUAUAUAUGAAACCUCUCUCAGUCUCACCCAAAUCGAUUAGGGAGUACUAGAAUUAUAGGUUUUCAAGUCUAAGCCGUGGAAUAUGUAAAUAAUUGAUCCAAAGGGUUCAUAUUGCAGCUAAACUGCAUCCAGAAAAGAGCAAUCUAUAUUUCUCCCAAAACCCAACAACAAACCAACCAAAUGUUUGCUAAAGUCAAUCAAUUUGUGUCCCUUCUUUCAUGUAUAUGGAAGUACCUUCUUUUAUUCUUGUUACACAGAGUAUUCAUAAUGGUAGAGCACAAAUAUAAAUUGUUCUAGUUUUUUUAUUUGAAAAUUAAACUCCGUGCAACUUUAGGUCACAACUUAAAAUGACACAAGUCACAUGUUUCACAUCUUUUUCUGAUAGUAAGACCUAUGCCUGUAUCAUCUCACUAGGAGAUAUGCGAUCACCAGUACCGUUCUGAAGAUAAGUACAUGCAUUAACAUGUAGCUAAUUCUACUAGCCUUCAAACAUAAAUAGGUCGAUUACGGACAUAAAAGGUAAUUAAAACCGUAAUACUCUCAUCAAGGCUUCCCAUUUUCUAGAUCCCUCUUAAGUUGAGUCUUGAGAGUCAUUGAUGACAAUUACUCAUAUUAAUUAACAGUAACAUGAUGAUUGGAUUGUCAUUGCUAUCCAGGGGCGGAGCCUUGAUCAGGCCUGAAGGGGUCUAAACCCCCCUUGGUUUUGAAAAGUUUGAAGGUAAGGUGCUUAAUUAGCUAAUUAUCAUUCAAAUCCAUUUAAUCAUAUCAUUAAACCCCCCUUAAAUUUUUACCUAUCAAUUAAUCUUGAAUGACAAAUCAAUUAUAUUAAGAAAUGUAUCUAUAGAAUUGAUUGGUAUUUAUGUCUUACCAAUCGAAAUUGUUAAGAUAAUUGAUUUUUUUUAGGACUAAUUUCAGUUUACCCCCAUCAAUUUUAUGUCGAUCAUCAUGUUAGUCAUUCUUCUUUUAAUUUCAUCAAAAACACCCCUCAACUUCCAAUUUUCAUCAGCCACACAUGUCUGAACCUCCAAUCUCCAUCCAAUUCUUUUGUCAAGUGAUGACUUGAUAUCAAGAAGAAAGAAAAAUAGACAAAUUGCAUUCAAUCUCACCAAAAUCACUAAGGUUAGGGCGUUAUGAUGGGAACGAAUAUGUGUAUCGAUUUGGGGGAAAAAUGGUCCAAAAAGUAACUUUCAGAAUUUGACUUUCUUCUUGAUAUCAAGUCAUCACUUGACAGAGGAAUUGGAUGGAGAUUAGAGGUUUGGACAUGCGCGGCUGAUGAAAAUUGGAAAUUGAGGGGUGUUUUUGAUGAAAUUGAAAGAAGAAGGACUAACAUGAUGAUCGACCUACAAUUGAUGGGGGUAAACUGAAAUUAGUCUUUUUUUUUAAUUAGUAAACAUGAAAAUUAAUGAAUUUACCAAAACAAAAAAUGUGAAGUAUUAAGUGAUGCGUAAAUUACUACUUUCUUCAUUCGUACAUUUUUAAUGUUGCACGAGUUUAUGAGAUGUAUACAAUAAAAUUUUACUUCAUUUAAAAAUGAUCAAAUUAAACAUCGAGUCAGAUAGUUUUUUUACAAAAUUUUAAUAUACACUUAUGCUAUAAUGUUUAGACGUCUCCAUGGUUAAAUCCUGGUUCCGUCACUGUUGCUAUCUAGUUUAGUUUUAUUCAACAAAUUGUAUUUGUCAUCACUAAACCAUUUGGAACUCCAAGAUCGGAGGUUUUAGUAUGAAAGAUGCUAUAUAAUUCUCCUCGGACAAAUAAUGAAGAAGGUGAUCGAUCGCAUCCCCGGCCACCUCGUAGCCACCCUCAAAUGGCAUGGACAUAUAUAGUUGUUCUGAGCGAGCAUUACACGGAUCGGGACAGCGCGCAUGCUAGAGAUUUGGUAUCAGAUGAAGCUUUAAUGGCGACAUAUGCCUCACCCAGAUUUGGCUCCUUCCCACCACAUCGUAGUCAUCAACUCCAACAUAAACUAUUCCUUUUCAUAUUUGAUAUCCUGUCGUGCUUCAAAAGUCUGUGUUUGGCUCUCAGCCGGGAAUUAAGAAGCUCAAACCAGAUGUGAAUGAGGAAACCCUCGAGGAACUUUCCGUUCCUUGAAAAUAUACGGGCAUGGUGGACGCAGUGGGUGAUAUAAGAUAUACUAAACAAGAGGAUUAGGGCUAGGGUUAAUUUUGUGGAAUAAUACACCUUAAAGAACUAUUAAAAGUGACAUACAUGUCCAUUGCUUCACGGCAUCCAUUAGGUCUAGAAGGCUUAGAUUAAUACUUCUUUUGUUUUUUUGAUAUUUUUGUAACAAAUUAGCCAAUUGGCAUUUUGCAUUCCUUUUGAGCUAGACUGGGUCAAAUUCUGAGGCUUGAUAUAAUGCAUCUGUCAAAUUCUAAUGUUUGGAGCUAUGCCAGAUACCACUUUCUAUAAGCUAGGGGGAUCGAAUCCAUUUAUAUCCAAAUGUUGGUGGUUUUUUAAAUUUUGGCUUUGUCUUUGAGCCAUGAGACAUGACCCUCAAAUUAAAAUGUACCAAUUAUGUAUGCUAAAGAUAAUUAUGCUAGUUAAUUAAAAGGAAACAUGAUUGUUAUGUAUCCACCUUUUCUAUAAUUCUCUUUGAUCAUAUAGUAUGAAAAUUAUGAACAUGUUUCGAUCUGGCUUUAAUUAAACAAAUUGGCAUAUAUAAGUGUAUGUCAUUAGGGGAUUGGUUAACCCAGCUAAUAAUCAAGAGCUCCAUAAAUAUAUAUAUAUAGCUGUAUUUGACUUUUCUUAUUAAACAAUUAAGGGGAACUUGAUCUGAAUUAUUAGAUAGGGGUUAGAGCUAAGUAGCCCUUUAAACAAAGGAAUACAAAAACAAAAUUGAUGAGAUCAUUAUAAUAUAUAUGUCAUACAGACAUUAAUAUAACUAGGUCUUUAAAAUACAACAUUAUCAUGUCAUUUCAAUAAUCAUAAGCAUAAUUAGUCAUUUUCCUUGGUCAGGGUGAAAAGUCCAUUUGAACUAAAUCAAUAACUUGGUCUAGAUUGAAUUGGUAUAUAGUUAUUCAUCAUUAACUUAGAAAUGAAGGUGGAGGCUUUGGCAUACACUAGCAUAUAGUACACAUGCAUGUGUGUAAUGGUGUAACUAAAAUCAAGCAUUAAUACUCCAAAAUGUAUAAUAUCAAGUAUAUUAAGAGAGGUUUCAAGUGAGCCAAGUGUUUUCUCUCUCUAUUUGUCUUAACAAGAACAAAGCAUUUGUCAUUCUUAAAAGAAAAUAAUCACUCAUGACCAAACUUUAAUUGAUUCGGAUCGAACCAUCUCUGUUUUAGACAUAUCAGAAAUACAUUGAACUUCUAACUUACCUUAAUCAAAAAAUAUGUUGCUAAUUAUGAAAUAAAAUCACAAGACGCUUGAUUGCUUUUAGAAACAAUACUGAAUCAUUUAUAAAUUACAUUUACGGUUACAUAUCUUUAUUAUAAGCUAAACAAAUUUCGUUGUUUUGUUUGGAAACUAGAAAAAGGAAAACCGUUCAUUCCUUAAAAAACAACAACGAUGGAGUAAUUUCUUGAUGAGUGGAGCUAUGGACAUGGAGAUCAAAAGAUUGAGAAGUGUCUCUUUCAAAAUUGCAAUGUGACAUUUUUGAGUAGCUAGCUUGGGCAAAAGAAGUAGUGAAAUGGGUCAUCAAAAAACUCCAUAAAAAAAAUCCCAUUAUUGGGGCUUAAAUAAAGAAAACACAUUUGGGUUGCACGUCCUUUAUUAAAACAAAUCCACACAACCCGUUUGUCAAUGUGGCGGCCAAUUUUUUAAGGACCCACCUCCCCCCUCUCCCUCCCUCCAUUUGUUUCUUCCUCCCAUCAAAAACCUCCCCAACCCUUCUCUCCUUCUCUCUCCCUCUCUCUGUGUUCUCAGCAGCCACUUUGUGUUUUCCACAAGCAUCAUCAUCAUCAUCAUCAUCAAAAGCAUCAACCACCCACUUCUAUUCUAGCUUUCAGAAAUGGGCUCCCCCACAUUCUUCAAUAAACACUUCAUGAGUGAUAUUGAUCACGACGACUACAACACCGCCACCACCUCCACCCCCGAAAACAGCUCCGGCUCCCCUCCUCCUCCUCCCGCCUUCAACGACGUCGUCUACUCCAAGAUCGCUUCCUCCCCCAAGAAAAGGUACUUGUUCACUCAAUUCGAAAAUUAGCUCAUGUAAUUUAAUUCCACCACCAAUUAAUAUGAAAUGAACGUUUGAAUUUGCUGUUUAAUUACAGCAGCCGGCGAGCCAUACAGAAGAGAGUCGUGUCCAUCCCCAUCAAGGAAAACAGUAACACGAACACUCCGCCGUCUGAUUCCUGGGCCUGGCGGAAGUACGGCCAGAAACCCAUCAAGGGCUCACCUUACCCUAGGUAAAAUCAUUCAAUCAACCAACCCAAAUACUAUGGGCACUUAAUUUUGAUCUCUAUAUUCUUCUAUAAUGUUUCGAAGUUAAAAGUUUCAAUGAACAUUACGUGACGCUGUAAUUUACGGCUGCUGAUUUUAGUUUCGGUUUUUUCUUUUUGGAUUGAGCAGGGGAUAUUACAGGUGCAGUAGCUCAAAAGGGUGCCCAGCGAGGAAGCAGGUGGAGAGAAGCCGAGCGGACCCCACUAUGCUGAUGGUCACCUACUCUUCGGAACACAACCACCCCUGGCCGGCUUCUAGAAGCCACCACGGCGCAAAACCCCAGACCAAAACCGAGGUCCGGGAGGAGGAGGAGGAGGAGACAGCGGCGGCCCAGCCGGAGCCCGACCCGGAGGAGAGGCGGUUCGCUGAUCUGGGCGGCGACGAGGAGCCGGCCCUGGUGAUCAUCCCGAGCGCCGCCGACGAGUUCGGGUGGUUCGCCGCCGACAUGGAAACGACGUCGUCGCGGGUGCUGGAGAGCCCGAUUUUCACGGAGAGCGGUGGGCCCGACUUUGGUGACGUGGCGGGGAUGGUGUUCCCGAUGGGCGAGGAGGACGAGUCGUUAUUCGCCGAUCUCGGGGAGCUGCCCGAGUGCUCGUUUGUGUUCCGGCACCGCCGUGUCGGAGGCGGAGGAGGUGUGGGACCACAAGUUCAGAUCUGUUGACACGUGGCCUGCCUUCCUCAUUUUUUUUUACUUUUUUAUUUCUUACACACUUCUCUCUGUCUCUCUCCGUAUAUACAAAAAGAGUUUUGUGUCAUUCAACCAAUAGAAGCCGGGUUGCAAAAGAGUAUCGUGCGCCAUAAGAUACCGGAACUUUUUCUCUUUUCAACAAUUUUUUCCUUUUUUCCCUUAAUUUUCUAUUUUUAGUAAUAAAAUAUUUUCAUUUCUAUUUUUCUUCUUCCCUUUUGUCUUAAUCUUUUUAGCUUAGUGAAUGAAUAAACAAAACUCUUAAUCUGGAUCUGUCCUUAUCUUGGUGUAAUCAGCAUCAUCUGCCGUCCGUUUCCAAUUUGUGCAUACAAUAACCUUCGAGUUUGGGGCCAUCAAUCUAUUAUUGGUUUUGUCACGGAUUUAUAGCAUAUGUGCCACCAUACCAAUUCAUUUUGUUCUCUUUUGUCUGUUUGAGGUUUUGUCUUCCUCUAACGUACUUAUCUCAUACUUGAUUGAUCGAACUUGGUAUUAAAUUUUAGAAAAUUCUAAUAUAUCAUAUAGUAUAACAUGUCUCAUAAAAUAUGUGAAUUUUGAGUCUUAUAUAAAUUAGGAGAUCAAAAUUUCGACCCAUUUCCUUACUUGGACUGUUAGUUAGGUUAUAGUAUUAGAUAAAAUACUAGCAUAGUUGGCAUGUGUAUUCUUUGUUUAUCUAGGAAAGAUAUAAUAUUUCAAAAACCUUCAAGAUUCACAUGGCCAUUUGCUUCCUCGUUAUGGUCCCUUCCAUUCAAUCAAUCUUAUCCUCCAUGAUAAUAUAUCUCAAGAAGCAAUCCCAAAUGCACCAAAUUCUUAUUAGUGUGUUGAAUAAAACUACAUGAAUUGACAGCUCAAUUACAAAGUGUCGUUUAUUCCUAUUCUAUAACUGCAUAAAAUUAACGAUAAUUUAUGAUAUGACAUGAUAAUAUACAUGAACAACGAAAUUACACACCGACUUUCAUAUAUCCAUAACAACAAAACUUAAAUCUCUCUCAACUAUUUGAAGAUAUUUCUAUCCUCAUUUCUCCCAUCCCAUGUUUUAUGACUUUUAGACCAAAGCUUUUAAAAACCAGAUCCAUUAUUAGGUUCUUGAUUCUUUGAUUGGCAGUUUGACUGAAACUCAAAAAUUGAGGAAGAUUCUUAUUGUUUGAAUAGACAUCCCAUUCUAAAAGUCAGAAUAACCGAAAAGAUGUUUGACUUUUAGGUAAAUGGUAGCUGGAUUAGGCUCCUUCAAGCUUCAGCUGCCACUAUUAUUAGUCUUUUAUUUGGACAUGGAGAAAGAAAAAAAAUUAGAACAGCUAAUAUUGGCACUCGAUUCUGGAUACACCCCAACAUUGCUCAAGGGAAGAGUUACGUAAAUACAUGGGGAGUGGUUGAAGAAGAGAAAAGGACCCAAGUGGAUACAUCUCACAUUAUCAACAAUUUUAAAGAAUCGACGAUUAAUAAAUAAAUAACCGAGAUAUAAUACGGAUAUAUGAAAUGAAAAACUCAUUCUAAUGUCACGCUAAACAUCGAACAGAUGUUGUCGAUGACUGAUCAGCAUAGCAUGAUUUUUCCACAAAGUAACGGCACUUACAUAAUGGGAUUUUAUUCACAAAUGUUUAUAUCAAUUUUUCUGAUAUGGGGUUUCAUUGUUGGAGACAAAACUCAUACUUCUCUUAUUUCUUUAUAAUCACAUUAACAAUAAUAUGAGAGACACAGCCAAAACAAGGUGUAAUAUAGAAUAAAGACCCUAGAGACCCGUCUUUGUUUUUGGAUUUUCUUUGGGUUUUGUUUUUACUUGAAUUUGCAACGCCUGCAUAGCAAAGUAGCAAAGCAUUGCGUCACAAUGUAAUGCAUAGUCAAUUAGUCAUCGUUUACAUCAUCAAAUACCUUGGAUCAUAGGUAAUUAGAUUAAUAAUCUUUUGGAUUAUAGUCAGAGUAGAUUGGAUCCACUUCUUCCUUAUCCAUUCUGCCAUACAAAGAUGCAUAGAUUAAGACAAAAUGACAGCUUAUCUAUAAGGAAUCCCCAAUUUUAUAAAGCCUAAACCUGCAAGAUUUCAUCUACAUGUAACAUGCUUAACAUCAAACACCUUCCCCCAAUAAUGGAAAAUUCUAAUUGUUUCAGAAUUAUAAUGUUUUCUGUGCUGAUAUUAUGCUUGGAUCAGUAUUUAUAAUAGACUAAUUUUCAAAAUAACAUGCCUUAUUUCACAAGGCACCACCAACUAGUUUGUUUUCUAGGAAAUUUUCGAACAGCCUGUCUAGGACAGAUAGGUUGAGUUGAAUAAAAGAUUUAAAUUAAUGGGACUGAUAAACAAUUUCAAAAUACAGAAUUUUGGUGCAAAUUGCCCCAUUCAACAUCUAUGUAGAGACUAGAGAGUAAAAUCAUGUAAAAGUUCCUACAGAAGCUCUUCUUCCAACAGCUAAACAUAAUCUGUCUCGAGUAAUGAAUGAUAACGACACUGGAAGAAAGAAACGGAACCCCGCUCAGCACCUAAUGUCUUUGGAUGAAAAAUUUUACACAACACCCUGGUAUACAAAGAAACAGAUGUAGCAACACAAACCAGACAUAUCUGAUACAGAUUCAAUAUCUAGCUCGAACAACACCCACCUUUCUUUACGGCUGAAACAUCACUGACAUCGAUUUUUUCUCCUUGGGAUGGAACAGCAGCUGCAUCAUUGUUAGCCUCCAUGGACUUCUUGCUCACUAUGUGAAAGAUCUGGGUAAGGACUUCAGCAAAUGCAUUGUCCACAUUAGUUGCUUCGAGUGCAGAAGUUUCCAUGAAGUAGAGGGACUCUCUUUCGGCAAAGGAUUUUCCAUCCUCAGUUGAGACUGCCACAAGGUGACGUAAGUCUGAUUUGUUACCAACCAGCAUGACAACAAUGUUGGGAUCAGUAUGAUCUCUUAAUUCCUUUAACCAUCUUUCCACACUUUGAAAUGUUGAAUUCCGAGUAACAUCAUAUACAAGCAGUGCGCCUACAGCCCCUCGAUAAUAGGCACUAGUUAUUGCUCUAUACCUACAAAUAGAAAAGGGUUAAUAUGAUGAUUGUCAAAUGAACCUCCAAAGUAGAAUUCUUCUGUUUUAUAUCAAUUUAGAAAUAACAAAACUAUAAAUCAAAUUAGGAGUUAAAAAACAAUGAUAUCAGACACCAAACUGUUUGUAAGCAUUACCAUCAGCAAUAACUACUUCAUAUUUUCAAUCAAAAAUGGCCGGUAGCUGUGGAAGUGUGGAAUCUAUUACAGUUGCCAAUACACUACAAAUAUAUACUUCUGUUUGUCCACAAUUGUGACAUAAGGUAUACUGAAGCUUUCACUUUUUCUCUGCCUAAUUGAACUAAUUUUAACACUCUUUAACUGUCUAACAUGCAAUCAUUGUAGCCAGCUACCAGCACCAGACAGCCAUUCCACCACAAUCUCAAUAACCAGACGCAUUACCAUUAGCGCCAGGAAAAACAUCAUCAGUAGCAAUAUGGUUAUGGAGACCACAGAUGGAAAGCACUAGAAAAUGGAUAGUGAUGAUGGGCUGGGUUGAGUUGGGUUGCUUCAGUCAUUUCAGUUUCAGAAGCAAGAUAGUGGCUUUAUUAGAGAAAGAAGAAAAAAAAACGCCUUUUGGGUUGCAUAUACGUUGGAGAGGAUUGAAAAUCAUCUCUCAAGUACAUAAAUGGUUCUACUGUAGUGGGAUAAGGAGGGUAGGAUGGAUGCUGUACAAAGCUGGCAUUACAAUCCUGUUCAGACAUCUUAACACAGGACUCAAACAUGUCGUGUUUUGGUGUUUCAAGCAACACCUUAUGGAAGAGGAGUUAUUUGAUUUAGGGUAUUAACUAACAAAGAUGUUUCCAACACCUGAAAAUUAUGUUUUCUUUCAUAUAGGACCAUUGUAAGGACUAACGACUAACUUACCACAACUUCCAUAGUCAUACAUGGACAUAUUUGUUAGAAUAGAGCUUAUUCUUCAGAAAACUAGUCCGCGGACUACCCUCUAGUACAUGAAGCUCAAACACUUGAGACUCGAUAAUAAAGGUUCUGGAAUUGCCUAAUGUUGAGCUAAAAAUUGCAGUAGUCAUUGAAAUACAAACUCAACUAUAUGCUCCCUUUCACUAAUACAAAACAAAGUAAGCUACCUAGAUUUGAUCAACCUUUAAGGACAAAAAUUUAUCAAGAAGACGGGGGAUGAAAAAUGGAUAAGAAGCCCAGUAAACCAAAUAAGAACAAUUGAAAAAGCAUUACUUCAGAUAUAAAUAUAAGAAGCGCUCCUUGAAGCUCAAGUUCUCAGGGGUCAGUGAAUUAUCAUUCAGCUCAUACAACUUUUCCAUCACAGUAAAGUAAACUACAUAGACCUUAGCAUCUGGUUUCCUGGGUACCCAACUUCGUAUCCACUGUUCAACAAGUAUAAAUUUGAAUAAAUGCUACUGUAGUUGCUAAACUUGCGAUUUUGGUAUGAAACAGUCACAAAUUCCACAAAACCAACAAAAAAGUACAGUAAGUUCCACACUAAGAAGUGGAAAAGUUAACCAUUCACUUUGAGCCCCCACUCAAACCUACAUCUGACAUAGCAUUUUUAAUGUAAAAGGAACAUAGUCCAUAUGGCUUUUUGUACUGAUGACGUUUCUGAUCAUCGUAAAAUGCCUGCCUGUGUACUCUUAUUAGAAGAAACGCUUGAUGGAGGCUCAAACUUUCUUUCAAUAAUGUCCAUAUCCAAACCUAAGCCUUCUAUGUCUACACACAGUUGAUUGCCAAAUAGGUUACAUAACACCAAAUCAAACUCAAUUUAACAUAUUAACCUCCUACAUGUGAAACAUCCAUUUCCAUUACAGCAUCGGCACUACCUCAAUACCAGCCCCAUGUCACCCCACUGCCAACAUGAAGAAUCAAUGGAACAUACUCAUCUCCAUAAAUAAAAGAAAACAUGUUUAAAUUUCAUCACUAACAGAUUGCAAGUUCACCCUACAUGUAGCACACUUGUGUUGCCUGCUCACUUCCCAGUUCCCACUAGUAAUUCAUUCACAAAAGCUAUAUAUGAAACUUAAUUGGGAAUUGCUGAAUAUAUGUCACAUGCAGAUACCAAAGCACAAUAAUAAUAUAAAUUACACAUACAUAUUUCGAACAGAACUAAAUAAUAUUACUUUUCUGUAAACAUAUCAUAUAGAUUAUAGUUCAAACUUCAAAGUCAGAAAUUUGAGCAAAGUACCAGUUACAUCUACAAUUUCCAUAAAAGACAAGGUAGCUCCAAUGAGAUUGUCAUGUUGUAUAAAGAUUUUGUGUAAACCCAAACCUAAAAUUCCUUUCAUCUUUUUCUAACAACACAAUACUUGUAUAGUUGUAAGAUUAUUCGAGUGACAAGUAUACUGAAGCAUCAUACUUAAUAACCCAAACAGCCUGUAAACCAAGUUUCACAAGUAAUUGUAUCUAAAACACAGCCUAUAAAACACAGUUAUUUUUUUCUUCUGUUGGCCAGUAAAACGGUCGACAAGUAGUCAACCGAUUUCCAUACACACAGCAGUAAGGACAAUAAACUCAAUUCCAUAUAUAAUCCACAAAAGCUUCUAUCUUUACAGCAAUUCCUCAAUGCGCUGUAUGAUCAUACACACUCGUAUGGAAGCCGAAAUUAAUUCACCUAAAGACACAGCUCUAAAGCAAAUGCGGUUUUGAUGUCAAGCUCAAAACAACAAAAGGACACAUAACAAGCAUAUACUAAGCAAAGAUUCUCUCCGCACAAGAAUCUAAAUUUUGCCCGAGAAUCUUAACAUUCUUGAGUCAACAGUUUCUCACAUUAAAUCCAACCUACCAGAUCUACCGUGAUCGAACCAAACACAAUGCUAAACCAACAAAACUCGAGAGCUGAACUGAAACUGAAGAAAACGAGAAAGACACGGAUCAUAAAGAAAGACAAACCUUUCUUGGCCGGCAGUGUCCCAAAUCUGGGCCUUGAUGACUUUGGAGUCGACGUUCAAGCUGCGAGUGGCGAACUCGACGCCAAUGGUGGACUUGGACUCGAGGCUGAACUCGUUGCGGGUGAAUCGGGAGAGCAAGUUGGACUUGCCGACGCCGGAGUCGCCGAUCAGGACCACUUUGAACAGGUAGUCGUAGUCGUCCUCAGCUCUGUACCCUGCCAUUGUUAUGUUCUUUUUGUUUCUUCGAAGAAACUGGUGGUGGUGAUCUUAGAUCUCUCACUUCUCUAUGUUUGUGUUUUUCUUUUUCACUCUUUAAGGAAAAUGAAAAGAGGUUUGCUUUCGGUGUGUUUGGACCUUUCGGCCUUUCGGAAGCGUGUCUGAACAGUGUGGACUGAGAAAGACUGGGGGCCGAGUGGGCUGGACUCCACUACAGAAAGAGGAGGGACUCUCUCUGCCUAUUGAGGAGAUGAAUGACGGUUAUGUCCUUGCUCGAGGGGUGUUUGUGGGAUUUUAUUUAUUUUUUAUUUUUAAUACACGUUAUGUACCGAAGACUCUUAGUUAUAAGAAACAAAGGAUGUCUAGAACUAGGAAGCACGGAAGCGCUGAGAUGGUCACGCUUCACGCUUCUGAAGCGGAAGCGCCGUGGAAGCGCUAGGAAGCUUUCGGAAGUGCGAUUCUGGGAAAAUGAGGUUUGUGAAGCGCGGCGGAAGCGUCCGAUUCCGAUAUGGAAGCGCACGACUUCGAUUCGGAAGCGCGGACGGGCACUGUGGGUCAGCGACGCGUUGAUCUUCUUUCAAUCUCUUAUGCAAUCAAUGAUCAAUCCCGUCCUCUCCUUGACGACCCCUUGAUUGAGAAAGGAGAGACAAAACAAAUAUGAAUCUGGAAGGAGAUAGAGAGAGACGUAGAAGGUGAGGGAGAACUGGAGAAAAGAGAUGCUGAAGAGAGAAGCAGCCAGAAUGACAAAGAUGGAUGGCUUCCACUCUCUUGAUUUGCACACCCACGUGCUAUAGUUGCGUUUUAAUUUUUUUCAAAAAGAAUGGUGUUUGGACCUUUUGGAUGGAAAAAACAUAGUUAUUAUGGGAUUAAUAGUUAUAUUAGUAGUAGAUAAAGAGGCUAAACAAUUAAAUAAUUAGGAGGUUGCAAAUUGUUUCAUUAAUUUGUAUUUAUUAUUAACAAUAAAUAAGAAGAUUUGGAAAGCUAGUAAUAUUAUUAUUUUUUAUAUUAUUUUAUUCUACGUCUCUAAACGCUUCACUUCCACGCUUCCGCUUCCGAUUCCAUGCAAUGUAGGUCUAGAAGACUAUAAUUGACAUUAAAGACGAGAGAACGAACACCAAAUCCGGUUAUGAGAGUAAGCACAUGGUCGAGACCGCGUGUAUUACCCUUCAAGAACGGUUAUGAAAGUUAAUGUGUAAAUUGUUUAAAGAAUCAAUUUUACGAAACAUACGUGUUAUAGAGCAAAUAAGUUACAACUUUUACGCGUUCUUUUAAAAAAUUUUAGUUGCUCCAUAAAAUUAAAAGCUAAUAAUUUUGCAAUUGCAAAGCUUGUUGUUGUUGGUCUGAUUAUUUAGUACGUAAAAGCUUUGGAAGAGUCUUCAUGAACAUUGGAUGUGGAUCGAUCAGUCGAUCACUGCAAUUAGGGACGGCGGCACUUGCUGGUAACCAAGACAGCCACAAUCCCACAUGCUGCUAUAACAGCACCAGCAGUAAUACCUAUUCCAAUGAAUCCAUCUUUCACAAUUCGAUCCUCUACUGUCUUCUUAAGACGAAGAGCCUGUUUCCAUUCUGGUUCAAUCUCUAAGCACCGGUCCAGAAGACGCCGGCUAGUUGAAUAUGCACCACUUCUGUAGUAUCCGACCGCCCGAAGAUAACGCAUCUCUUGUUGAUCCAAAAGGGAAUUGGUAUUUUUGGCCAUUGAAGUUUCAGCUGCUUGCAGCAGCAUGUCUAUUCCACGUUGCACAUCUUGAUGUUGCCUUGAGUGAACAAGUGCCCAUGAUAACCUAAUUAUUCUUUCUCUCUUGUCCUUCUCUGUCGUCUCACCUUUGCUCAUCGCCUCUGCAACUUCUAUCUCACACCCAUGGAUGAUGUUUCCAUCGCUCCAUGGGAUGUGAUCUUCUCCGGAGCCGAACAAGGAACCGACGGAGUGGAAAAUGUUGUUCAUCAGUUUCCCCACUUUUCGAUUCUCAAAGGGACGAAUGACUUUUGUGGGACAACGAUUUUCAAUUGCUAAUUAGAAACUGUAGUAAAUUUGUGAUGGCCUAUAUUAGAAGGAUGCAGGAGAGGAGAUAAUGCUUCUCCCAUUCGGUUUUGGUCUAGCCCUAUAGUCUAUAUAAACACAUCCUAAUUUUUUUGCCUAAGUUUCAAAUCCUUGAGGGAGAAGGUUUUCUUCUCCUACUCGGUUUAGGUCUAGCUAAAGCUUACAUAUAUAAACAUUGCACUCCCCUCAUUUACUACCAAUUAUCUCAUUCUCUUCAUUGAACAAUUUGUUGAGGCUAGCUACCAUGUCAACCAUCAGAGAAAUAUUCUUUACUUAUUCCGACGCACGACAAACCAACGAAAAAACUGAAUCCGACCUCUCCCACUUAAUCUUCUUCAAUCCACAGGACAUAGUUCCCAUCAGAUUCAAGCUCGUAGAGAAAUUCAAAAGCGGCUGUGUUUCUGAUUCUGAAGAUGUCGACGAUCCUCUUUCUUACCCAACACACAUUUUCUUCGAAGAGAUAGGAUCCAUCGUCGCAAGAGAAGAAGUCAGUAUAGAUUCUCUCUCGAGUCUCAAGCAAAAAUCUGAGAGGAAUUUGCAUAAGGAACAUUUCGGUUCUAUUCUUUCCAAAUCUUUGGGUGUCCCUGAAGACUUGCAUCCACCUAUCUUUGAGAAACUCUUUGAGGUGGUUGAUGAUGAAGACGCCGUACCCUUGCUCCCUAUUGAAGUGGUUAUCACUAACGUGAACUUGGCUCUGACUUCAAGGUGGUUAGAGAAUUUAGCACAAUCUUCCAAUUAAAAAGUUAAUUACAUUCCUUAAUUUUCAUUUUCAUGGACACUUGUACAGUGGCACUACAGAAAGGAAAGAGUGCAGAAAACUGUAAUGGAGUUCUAGUUUUGUUCUAUUCUUCAAAGAUCCAAAACGCUUGUAGAUUAUUUGAGUAUGAUCGAAGACUGCACGUACUUUUUAUUAUUGUCAUGUAAUUCUUAAGAAUAGAUGUCAUUAGUCGUUAGUCGUUACUACUAGUAUAGGUGCUUCACAUUUUUUCUCGGAUCGAUCUUUCUUACCAAAUCAUAAGUAUGAAAAGUUGAGGAAUGAGUCGUGUUAAGAAUAUAUGCGUCUCACAUUGAGAAAUUGAGACAUUGUUUAUAAGUUCAUAAUGGGUUGGGCCACUUCAUCUAUUACCGAUUGGUUUUGGAUGUGAACUCUAAACUACUUAAAUGAUAUAUAGUUAAUGUGCCGCAAAACACAUCUCAUCCAAAAAACACUAGAACAACGAAAGAUACGAGUGCUUUGUGGAUUUUAGAAGAUGAAGCACUCUAGAGAUCUCCUAACAUGAAAAAAACACUUCCAACAAUAACAAACCCAAACAGCUCAUCAUGUCAGCUGAUUAGAUUUUUCAUAUUUAAUUGCAGGUGUGAUGUCAAACUCAUGAAUCAGUUUUGAACUUUUUAUAGAUCAUCGAUCGCCUGUAAUUAUUUAAAGUAAAGCUUUCCAAAGUUUCAACAGCUAAGCUAGCUAACUACUGAAGUAAGAUUUUGAUAUUAUUGUUGUCUUCAUCUAAAAUAUGUUCCAAGUUGUUGAGAUGUUGUUCUCUAGCUAUUAAAUUUUUUGAUCAAUUAUUUAUCUCUUUGUUAGAACCAUUGAGAGGUCGAUCUAGCUAGAACCAUUUAGAGGUCGAUCCAUAAGGAAAGUAGGAAACAGGUAACUUCCUUCUGUAGGAAAAGUUAAGGGUGUUAUCCUUCUGUAGGGCAUUCUCUGUAUUUGUAAUUAAAGUUCAUACUUAUAGAAUUUCUGUGAUUAGCGCUACUUGUGCUUCUUUUGCCUUAAUAGUUAAUAUGAUUGACCUCGCAUUUUACUAAUUGAUGCAGAUCUUCCUCACCAAACAAAUCGAUGAUCUUUCUCACCAACAUUGAAUUUUAAAGGCGCGGAUGUAUGAAUUGAAUUCUACUUGCUAGCUAGACCCACAAUUGAUUCAUGUAGCACCGUUAUAUCCCAUAUAUCAGACACUAAUAUGAAGAAAAAACGUUUAACAUGGAAGUUGAAGAUAAAAACUGGUAAUUAUUAGCAGCAGUGAAGCACUUUGAACAAAAGAGAAAGUCUUCCGUGCGACGGUUGUGCCACCUGGUUCAUGCGACCAGCCAUUUGAAAUCCGACACGUUUUUUUUUUUCACACAUGCAUUCUUCUUCUUCCCGAAGGUCCCUACGACUUCUCCGGCGAAGCUUUUUCUUCCUUUCUCCAGCGAAGCUUCUUCUUCCUUCCUUUUCGAGCCGCCGAAGGUCCCUGCGGCUUCUCUGUCGAAGGGUCGUAUAGCCUUUGCAGCUUUUCCGGCCGAAGAAGAACGCAGGCGUGAAAAAAAAAAACACGUGUCAGAUUUCGAAUGGCUGGUCACAUGAGCCAGCUGACACGACCGUCACACGCAAGAAUUUCUCUGAACAAAAACACCAUGAACAAUAUGAAAUCUCAACACAAAGAGCCCUUCAUCUUGUUCAUUAGAUUUUUGGUAAAUUUUGCCGGGACGUCAACUAAUCAAUUCGAUGUAGCAUCAUCAUGACCCUCAUCAGAUUAAUCAAUGAGAACUUUUGCAAAGUUCCAACAACUCUCUUUAGCAAAAAAAUUAGUGCUACCAUGAUAUUGGAACACAUGCAUAAAGAAUCGAGUAUGAUGGUAGCCACGACCUUCCUAUGAUUGCACACAGCCAUACACGUCCUUAUCAUAAUUCUCUUAGUUUUUCGCCAAGCCACCAAUUCCAAGCUUCUAUUUAUAUAUCAUUAUUAUCUUAUUCUCUCUUUCAGCUUUGUACUAUUACUCUUGAUUCUGGUUUUGCCAAUGUCUUCCUGCUCUGAGUCUCACCAGGUCGCUUCUUCUCCUUCAUCUUCUUCUCCUUCCCAACAUUCGAGUCCAAUGAUAAAAGUAGUGCAGCUGGUUCCGAAAUCGACAUCGGAUCGACUUCUGGAGAAGUUCUUUGACGCUACACAGUAUGACUUUGAUUACAAUGAGCAGAGUGGAUUGUGGUCUCCUCCUGUGCAUCGUAGUGUGUUCAUGAGCUCACAAGGUAAAAUAUUCACUGAACAUGAAAUGCAUGCCAAGCUUACAACUCUAAUGGCUGCUCAAGCUCGUUCUUCAACACGCCACAAACUUCGCUGCCGAGUAAGUUCAUUUCUAACAAGCAAUUUCAUCUAGCAACAUUGUGUGUUUGGUUAUUAGAUUCCUUUGAACAUGAAAAUUUUGAUUUUCUGUAGGUAUUUUGGUGCUCUUGAAGCAUAUCUUGGAAGCCAGCUUAAUAUAUAUAUUGAAGAGGAUUGCAGGUCAAGAAACAAGUAGCUAGGUAGCAAACAAGAAUUAAGAGGAAACAUGGGAUCCUCAGAAAUUUAGAAACCCAAUUGUAAUUUCUUCUCUUUCGUCAUGUAAAUUGCAUGCUCAUUGUUCAGAGUACUACAAAGGAAAAUGAUAAUACGAUUGCAAAUAUUUUGUCAUCGAGCCAUGUCUUUCUCUAUGUUUGUUUUCUAUCUUUUCGCCUGUUCGAACUUCAAACAAAGAUUCUAAUUAGCUAGUGAUUCAGUACUACACAAAUUUACUGCAGAUUAGUGAAGGAAUGGUAGAUGUGUAUUAGGCUAUUAGUUACUAUGUCAGUUUCAUGAUGACAUACAGUAGCGGCAGCCCCAAACUUGAUUAUGACUUGUAGGGAGGUUGACGUUGCUCGAUUCAAAUUGAGCUAUUCGCAAUGGGAAAGUGGGAACUGGGAACAUGAGGGCAGGUUUCCCCACAAACUGUAUUUAGUAAUGUCAAUGUCAUGAUGCAAAUUUUGACAGAAUGGGGAAAAACAAUUAGCCAAUUAGAAAAAUCACUGCUCAUUCACAGUGAUAUAGCAAAGGGAAUAUUUAUAGCAUGCUCUUUAGAAAUCUGGUUCAUGUGGUCCAUAUCCGACCUAUUUUAGAGAUGGUGUUCUAGCCUAUUGGAACUUCAGAAUCGGAACUCGGAAGCCGUUUCGUUGAAUAGUAAUGGUAAUAGAGCAGGAACAAUGCCGUCUGUGCUUCACAGACUUCUAAGAUUCCCUUUUGCAGAAAUUUCCUGUUGUACCAAACAGAUGCUCUGUUUUGUAUGACAAGAAGUUAAAAGGAUGAGCCUACAUCACAUCAAUGCUAACAUUGCAGUAAUUGCUCAGAGAAAGAGAGCUGAGCUUGUCAAACUAUGCGGCUUUCGUCAUUCACACUAUAUUAAAUUUUGCAGAUACAAUGCAAGAGAAAAUACAGUAAUUGAUGCUAAAACUAUCGGCUGGAAACUCCAUGAGGCCUCAACCUACCUCUUUACUGAAAGUUUCAUGUACUAUUGAAAAUUGUAAAUGUUCUUCAGUUCUUCUCGUAGUACUUCCGCUUCAUAAUGAAUUUGGUGUGGUAAGAUAAUUCAAUGUGAUUUCAACUGCCUGACUACAGUCUACAGCACCCACAAAAGAAAUGUAUACACUAUAAUAGUAUAAUGUUUCAUAACCAACCGAAACCCCUUCUGAAAGUGGCAUGGGAACCUAUUAUAUUUCACCUGAAACCUUUGAACUCCAGUCAUUCAGUUUUAUGUUCCUCUAGAAGCCUCUACCUUUCCCUCUUGUAGGUAUGGGUAUAUAUAUACACCUGCAACCAGAGAGACGGGUAGCAUAGCCGUUAAAACCAGCUCAAGAACUAACUUGCUAGUAUUACAAGGGAAUGAUAUAACUGUACUCUGAAUGAUAUAGAUACAUAAGAGAAGUAUCUAAAUUCGAAACUCAAUUUAAGGCUUCAUUUACAAAUGAGAAACAUAUCGGUUAGCUUUUCUUCACACUGCUGAGAGAACCACAAUCUUGUAGAUAAAAUAUGCUUAGUCAUAUUUAGCUUUGUAAUACUUACGGGGUUAAGGUUGAACAUAGCUCUAUGCAUAAGCUUUAAACCGGUACAGGAUUUUGUUCCAAGACUUCUUUUCCUGUAAUUCCAUCCUUCAAAGUUUUAAAGUAAACAUCGUAGUCCUUCUCAGGGGGUGGAUUUUCAGGGUCUACUGUAAAUGGCUCGCUAAAUGGUAUAACACUUUUAACCUGCAAAAGGGGUAGUUAUACACAUAAGACAUUGUCCAGACUUAAAAGAAAGCAAUUGGUGAUUGACUGAACUCCAAAAGCAAAUCAACAGGAAGUACGGGAUACAAGUCGAGAGUUAAACCUCAAAUGUCUUGCCAUUUGCAUAUGGGCUUUCUAAUGCAGCAACACAAAUUUGAGCAACCUCUUCUCUUGAUAUCUUACCCUGCAUAGAACAUAUAGCAUAUAACAUAUAAUUAAAAAAAAAAAACUAGUCCAGAAACACUGUUCCAUUGGAUGAAUAAGCUGAAAGUGAUCAUUGACAUUUUAGUGAACCAUUUGAUUGUUAUUCCUUUGAUAUCUUACUCUGCAUAUAUAAAACACAUAUAUAUCAUUUCAUCAGAAACAGAGCAUUAACUAGUAUUUUCGUCCAAUAACCAAAGAACCAAAUUCCAGAGUCUUUUGAAGCACAGUUCAAUUGGAUAAUAUCAACAUGGAAAAUCAAAAUGAGAUAAAUUUUCACCAAACAUACAAGCAAUCAGGAACAUAAGUCUCCAUUUACCGUUAUAUUAUCUCCUUGUUCAAAAAUGAGAUCUGCUCCAGCAGGCUCCUCAGUUAAUGCACAAGGCCUCACAAUUGUAUAUGGAAUUCCACUUUCCCGAAUUAAAUCCUCCCCCUGUUACUAACAAAUGUAAGAAACUGGAGAGGAACAAAAUCAGGAAUUUUCUUUUUGUUUAAAUUGGGAGUCAGUUUGCUACAUAUAAACAGCAGUAGAGUACUAAGAUGCAGUAAUCAAAUAGUUCACAUUGGUUUAGUAUGAACCUUCAACUUGAAAGUCAGGAUAAAAUCCAAUUCCUUGUUCAACCGCACAGCAGGAGGUUGUCUACUUAGAUCAAGUCCAGGUCUCUCAGGCCGGGUAACUCCUGCAGAGCUUACAUGUACAAACCUACAUGUAAACAAAGGAAAUGAUGUAAAGAAAGAAGCAGAAAGUUAACCAAGCUGAUCAAUUAUGUUCGGCAUAAGAAAGAUGUUCAACCAAAGAAAAAGAGUUUUUAAACCUGGGAGUUAUAGGAUCUUUCAGAUAUGCCUUUAUGCUUGAAACUGGGAGCUUAAAUGCCCCUUCCACGAAAGUAGGAUUGAGUUUUCCAUCAUAUUCAAACUUGCUGAACAUAAGCUGAAAAACAAUUUCCAAUUUCUCAUAUGGAAUAAAAUCUUCAAGUGAAAGAAUGAGUAGGAAAAGUGGCUGAAGAAAAUUACCUGCAGUGACACAAUAUUGCUCGGGUCAAAUGAUGGCGCAUCUGGUACUGUUUUUGCACGAAAUAUCGGCCUCAAAGAAGUAAAUGGAAGCCUUACCUGUAAAGAAAUGAUAGAUUUUCUACUUUAAUGUAGGUUGAAGUGUUGGAGAGUUUCAAACAUGAUUCCGUUCAUGAAAAAGUGCCCCAAAACAGAUUUUGAGAAACAAAUCUGGAUUCAUAUAUCAACCCACUUUCAUAAUGCAAUUUCAAUAGGAAAAUAAAAUCAGGUUUUGAAAGCCAAAUUAUUCUGUGGGGAACUUGGAAUUGCUUUUAAAAAGAACAUUAUGUCGCUAUGAUUGUAAGAGAACUCUUAAAACCCCAAAAUUGAGAGGAUUGUUGUAAACUUGUAAUACUCACUGUCUGCCAUUGGUCUCCUACAGUGUCAAAGCCUGCUGUGUAACCAACAGUAUCCCAAUCACCACUGGUCCGAACAAUUAGCUUAUAACGACGACCAUCACCUUUAAGGCGCAGCUCUAAACCAUCAUAUGCAGAGAGAUCCUCAGGUGUUGAUAGAUUCUAAAAAACAUGCCACAAUUAAGGAAAGCAAGCAAUUUAGAAUAUCUUGUAUCUUCACUGCCAAACUUAAUAUUACACUUGACAGGGACUUAGUAAUUGAACAUUUGAUGUCAAAAAACAUACAUGACUGGGAAUAGAUAAAAUUUCUAACAAUCAAAAGAAAGCAUAGCUGUUUACCUUUGUUCUGAUGCUUGUAAAUCCACCAUUAUUUGCGGUGGAAACAACUCCUGAAGUAGAAAUACCAAAUAAAUUAAAUGUUUGAGUUGAUGCAACCCAAUAUGAAAAAGAUUACCACUCAUCAACAGUUUUAUAAAAUCACCAGUAAGAAAACACUAGACAAACAGAAGUCUAGAGUUUACAAAAAAACACACCUUUAAAAAGUCCAGUUGGUCCACCAUCUUCGCUGCCAUUUGGGUCGAUCAGAAAUGUACUUUCACUCACUCCACCCAUCACAACAUCAUCUAAAGCUCCCCAAGCCAAUUCCCUACAAUUAUUACCUGAAGAUUGAAAAAGAACUUAGAUUAUAAAUGUGUUAUUGGGUCAGAAAAACAAUUAUUUUAGGUAUGGAUUUCCGAAGAUGUUACAAGCAUAAAAAUAAAACAAACAAUUCAGUUCAUUUUGAUAUAUCAAAUAUUCGACUGUAUAAUCACAGACAACUCAGUAACUUAUGGGGGCCAGAUUAAACAUUCACAAUCUUUCCUAGCUCAACCAGAUCUGUGAAUGACUAUUUAGAAAUUUUUUUUAAUUUUUUUUUAUGGUACUGAUCAAGCUUGAUCUUACAAUUUUAUUUAUCAACCAUUGAUUUGUACAAAAAAAUCAUUCUAUUUAUUUUUACAAAAACUGCUGAAAUGACACAGCAUAAGACGAUGAUUAGUAGUUUCACCUUAUAGAAAAGCGUACCUUCAUAUCCAAAUAAUAGUUUUCCAUUUUGAAGUCCAACACUUUGCUUUAGAGCAUUAAUCAAAUUUUUCAUCCCAAUGUACUCCACCUUUUCAGGCGAAUCUCCCUUGAUCUGGUUCCAUCAAUAAGCCAAAGCUUCAUAGUUACUAAGUGAAACAUGCAAAUAAAUGGGAAAAUAAUUUCAAGUUUUAGUUUAAACAUUAUUCACAACAAAAUUGUGACUCCAGAUACAGAAUGUAAGCAAUCAAUUCCCACCUCUGGUUCAAAGAACUUGAUGCCCUGCAGCACACCAAUUUAAAAGUCAAAUGCCUGCUUAAAAUUAUAAAGAGAAAGAAAAAACAAACUGCGGGACAUAUUUGAGGCUCUUUGGCAUGAGAAAUAUAUGUCAGGCAAGUUUAUAACUUAAAGAUAUCCAACACUAGAACAGAUAGAAGUUAAAAUGGAGUAUCCUCAUCUCAACAAUGUGUAGAACAUACUUGGCUGUAUUUUUGCCUGUCAGGAGUGUCCCCUUCCUUUGGACCAACAAUGACAGAAACAGCAUUAAUCACUUUCCUGACUCCUUUGAAGUACUCAGGGAUCAGAGUACUCUCCUUAGUAAUGUCUCCAACAAUCUGAGAGUUUUACAGGAAAAACAAGUCGUCAAAGUUAACAAUGUUAAAUGUAACAGAUGAAACUAUAAUCCCUAACCAAAUAUGAAUCAAACAACUAAAUUUCACUAAGGAAACUGAAGAACAUAGGUUGCUAGCCCACCAAGUCAAUGUCUGGGCCUAACAUCUGUCUUGCUUUCUGUUCAUUUCUAACCUGAAAGAAUAAAAGACAAGCAAAAAAGAUCAUGCAAGUGUGAAUGAAAACAGAUGGUCGUGAGUCAAGAUAUCAUGCAAUAAGUAAGCUAAUUAAAGGUAAGAGCAUAAUACCAAUACUCGAACUGGAAUUCCUUUCUUCCUUAAGAUGUUGACUACCCUUCGACCUACACCACCAGUUGCUCCAGCCACUAGGACAGUGCCAGAAGUUUCCAUUCUCUUUACUGAUUCACUGGGUGACGGGCUGGAUAUUUUGCUGACUAAAGACUCAAAUAUCUUCACAGCACAGGUACCAAAUUUUUGUUAGUUGAGUGACAUGUUUAUCUUUCACUGUCUAAAAUGAAGUCGAAAACUCUAGCAGUGUCCAACCUUAGCAGGAGAGGGUGGUUCAUUGAAGAAGAAUAACGUUUUCAAGAAUCUACCCAAGUCCCAACCCUGGCUUCCAGAUUGUGCUAUUAUGGAUCUUUUCGACGUUCUCCGAGAUAGACGAUCAGAUUUUAGUUGGCUGAGGAAGGUCUGUGGUCUGCCAUUAAGUUGAAGAAAUGGUUUAGGAAGUGAAGGUUUGUUAAUAAGUUUCCUACCAACAGGUGAUGGAAAAUCCUGCAACCAACCCAUCAUUGAGUUAUAACAAGUAACAUCACCAACUAAUACUAUACUCCUGCACCAAUAUCCGUUUUCCAAUUAUCAAUCUUUUCACAUGAACAUGCUCAUUCAUGAAAUGAAAUUCCAUUUGGGUUGGUUAAUAAAGCUUGGCAAGGUUAUUACCUAUUACAUAGAGAUAAAGAAACCCACUUUUCCAAUUAUAAAUACAACCAGCAAUGAACCAAAUUGGAUUCAAAAACGCAGAAACAAAAAUGGCUAAGCUUUGUUCCUACACAUGCUUAUCAAUCAUUGAUUCAACUAAAGAGUACAACUUUAUUGAACAUUUGCACAUAGAACUGAUAAGGAUUAACAUUAGCGUUAUGUAGUUACCUGAAGAUUGAGAGCUGAGGAAGACGAGAGCUUAAUGACACCAAAUUCCAUUGUCCAGGAGAGUUGGAAAGUACCUUCGAGUCUGUUCUGGGGUAUUUAUCCUGUUGCUGAUAUUUGAGUUGGAGUGAAUACCGACCACAUACUAACAGUCAGUUUGACAGUUAUGAUCUUGGAAACGACUCCUAGUAGUAGUAGAACUGUAGAAGCCUCACUUUCUCUAUGCAAUUUGGUUCGCUCAUUCAGCCAUUGCUAAUAGUCAAGGAGGUUGGUAUGGAGAGUUUAAGCUCCACCAUGAGGCCCAUGAAACAUAAGAUCGAAUGAACAGCCCCGAUAACCACUUCAACUCAGUGACCCACGUCAGGCCCGUUGGAUAUUUCAGUUAAACUCAGCCCAUGCAACAGUGGAAAUGAUUUGAUAAAACGAUCUAAACACGACAUGAAAAUAGCAGUGGCAUCACUGGCAUGAACACGAAUCACGAAUGUGACAUAAACCAGACAGAUUAGUCUGGAAGUGAGCGAAUCUGAUAUUGAUACAAGGUAAACAAGCUGAAUUCCAGGGUUUGCUACUAACUAGUUAAGUGCCAUGUUCAACCAUAAUGUCUCUACCUGUACCCACUAGUUAGUCACUUGGUCACAAACCCUGAAAUAUUCAUCCAUCCACUACUGUUCUUCUGAUUAGGCCUCGAGCAGCAGUAUGACAGAAAAUUAUCCCUCAUAUUCCCGCUACGGUUUUACUCAUCUGGAUUAGAAUCGGUGUGAAAAGAUAGGCAACAUUUUCCUAAAUGGCGCAAAGUAGCUUUUAAGGGCGUUUACUAAACUUGAAUGUGAUCGAGCGUUUUCGCAAGAGAAGCGUGCGUAGCUUUCAGUGUUUACCAAGAGGAAACAAACUCACGUGUGCAUCUGCCUCCCUAAAUUGUCAUAUUAUGUAUUUAGUCCUGCCAUCAUUAAUUUUGCAGCCCCUCUUGGUAUUCGAAUGUCAGAAAUACUACGAUUUUCCGGGAAGAAAACGCCAUUCUUGUUGAAAUGGAAGGAUGCAGAAGAACGUACUCUAGCUCACUUUCUUGUAUGCUGAAGUACAUGAUGGGAAAUCUAAUUGGCCUUCUAGCAAAUGGAAUAUUAUUAAAUGACUGAUAUUUCAUGCUGAAUAAUUUCUCUGAUCCUAUACAUGAGUCACGCUAAAUUAUAUAUAUGAGCAUACAUUUUUUAUGUCACAUUGGUCAAAGAAUUAAGAUAUAACAGAUAAAAGUUGUCUAAAUAAGACACCUGAGCUGCUGACACUGGUGAAUGGUUUAGGGUUUCUUUGUUGACAUUCUGCCCUACAGUUUCUUCUUCGUUGGGGCCGUUCAUGCCGACACUAGAGGAAAUUAUUCAACUCCUUGCUGUGAUCUUGUUGAGCUUAUUUUGCUGCAUAAUGCAGGCAACUCAUUACUCAUGCAUGUUUGGUUUGUUCUUAGUAGCAUUUAAGUCAACAAUAUUGACAUGGUUUUGUCUGUAAUAAACAUAGUAUAUAUCAUAUAUGCGAGGCCACUGUGAUCUUCUUCAUUUGAAUCAUAAGCUCUUGUGUUUGAUCGAAAUAUCGGUUUGUUGAUGAGCGUUAAUGUUGAACUCUUUAAUCGGCUUUUGCAUAACAAUAAAGUUAUAUCAAAGCUUGAGAUUCAUAUAAUUCUUACAGAUCAAUUAAUCUAGCUAUAUGAUCAUAAGGCUUGCAUAUGUUCAUGUUUUCCAUAAUGUCUGAAUAAACUAUAAAACCCAUCGGAACUAACACUAUUUUUCUAUGAGAAUCAAGACUAACAAUUAAUAUAAGAAAUAAGGUCCUCUACAAAUUAAACCAAAUAAACGAUUCAUAGUAUAUCAUAUCUAAUUAGGAGUACCAUGAGGGAUUGUCGAUCACCAAAAUUUUUACAAAAUCUUUUCAUAUAAUCAUAUCUUCUGGUCUUCUAAAGUUUCUUUUGGGAUGGUCCAUCUAAUCGUGUCUCAUACGAAAGUUGUUGGUGACUUUCUUAAACAAAAACCCAAAAUAAUGGAUCUCAUUCACUAGCUACAACUCGACCAAACUUUGUCGACAGUGGAUAUAUACAAUAUAGAAAUAACACGAUGUCAAACACUCCAAUCUUGUCAAUGCCCUAAUUGUUAGUGCACUACAACGAAAUGCCAUUAACAAAUAAGUGUUGGAUUAUAAGAAGCCAAAUCUUCAUUCUCUAAUCCUAACUACUCCUUCUAAAAACUAAUCUAGGUACAAGUUAAUUAAGUGGUCAACUUUCAUAACAAUGUUUAAUGAUAAGAAUUAAGGUUUUUGUGGCUCUAAACUGAAAGACUGUAGUCCACGUCUAGCAUAGUUCUUUGACGUCUUAUAGUGCUAGCAUAUGCUUGGACAUAGUGAUGGAAUUUGAUACUCUAUUUACAAUUAUAGUGGUUUGUGUAACUAAACAUUAUUUUAGGGGUGACUGUUGCAUAAUAUAUAACACUACAAGUCUACAAACUUGAAGGUAGCCAACAUGUCGCAUGGCCUCUCUGCAUCUGAAGCAGUCACACACAACCGCGUAUCAACGCCUAACAAGUUGUUAUGAUGCAAAUCCCACUGUAUAUAGUACAGCACAUUUAUAUAUUUCCGCUAUUUGAGGUUGAAAGGGGAGUCGAGAAGAGCUUCUGUUCUUGGCAUCUGAUUAAUUAAAUUGUUGUUUAAUUCUGUCGAUUCCUCUUGUUGUGAGCUAUGUUCUGGAUUUCUUGUUUGUUUCUUUCGGAAAUGAUGUUGUAUGCUGAUACUUGGUAACAGCUAGGACUAAUGGCGCCAAAAACUAAAUUAUUAUCUUUCUUUCUGAAUCCAAAGAAAUAGUCAAGGACGUCAUUCGAGUUAUAUAUGGUUAGUGCAAAACAAAAUAGAGACAAAGAGAAGGAUAUUUGGCUUUACUUGAAUUUCGUGAUUAUUAUGUUUUAAUUUUCUCUUUUGUUAGAUAUCUUUCUCUGUCAGAUCGAAUUUGCAUGUAAAUCUCGUAUUAAAUUUGUAUAGUUGUUUUAAUAUGAUAUUCUUUUACACAAAUAAAAGAGCGUGGAAGAUCGAUGGAACAAUCAAUUAGCCAAACCAGUCCCUUUUUAACAUUGCAAUGUGACUUUGAGAUCAUUGACAUUUAAGUCCAGUGAUCCUCAUUUUCUUCUCUUAGAUUUCAUACAGAUUCCAAAUUUCCAAUUCCAAUCUUUUCCACGUAAAGUGAGAAACAUUGUAUACUUUUCUCGUUUUAGCUAGUUAUCUUCUCAUCCAUGAGUUUCAGCUAGCUAGCUUCAGCUUAAUUAUUCAAUAUGACAAAGCUAGCGUGGAUACCACGAAUCAUCAAAAUGACAAUAAAUAAAAUGAACAAGAUUUUGGACCGUAGUCACAUUUUCGAAUUGCUUAUUAACGUAUAUUGGGGUGUGAAUAUGAUUGCAAUGAAUUCAGUUUUUCCAGAAGUAAUGAUAUACUGAUCUACAAAUGGCAUAUGCUAACUGCAUUGCAUGCCAUUUAAUUAUCUGCACAAAGUAGCUUUAUAUAAAUGACCAAUUCUCAAAUUUAAUGCAUUUAUAUGGAUUACACUUAAUCCCAACAAGCAGUUAAAUAGAAUGUAUACCGCUUAUUCCCAACAAGUAAUUAAUACCAUAUGCAUUUUUUUAAGAAUGACGUUAAGUCAUAUAUUGAUCAAACACAAGUAUGUAAUAACAUAAACACGACUCACCUUCGCGGGUUCUACAAAACAACCUAAAAGACAGGUACCCCAAAUUAAUAUAUAUGUAUAUAGAAUACAGUAUAUAAGAACAAGAAAUAUUUAAUCAUACUAGAAAAUGUUAACUCGUAAUCGUUAGUCUUCUUAACUAGAUAGCCCUAUAUCCGGUUAAUCCAUUAAUAUUUAUCUCUAUGAUAGUAAGAUUACACUACGGGUUCAGUGCUGGCCCCGGCGUGCUCCAAGAGUAAUCGAAGUUAACUAGCACCCUCCUUUGUAUAGGUGUAUUAAGUUGAACACUGAUGGGGCAUGAAAAAGUAGUUCGAACAAAACUGGUUAUGGUGGGGUAUCUCGUGAUUACAGUGGCAAAGUUAUGGGUGCUUUUUGCUAUAACUUGGACAUUCCAAGCUCUGUUGCUGCUGAAGUUAUGGCUAUUAUCAAGGCUAUUGAAUUAGCUUGGGUACGGGAGUGGAAGCAUAUAUGGUUGGAAGUAGACUCAGAGAUAGUUUUUAGUUUCCUUCGCUCUCCCACUUUAGUGUCUUGGCAACUAAGUGUAGAGUGGAGCAAUUGCUUGUACUGAAUUUCUUAGAUGAACUUUCACUAUUCUCAUAUAUUUCGAGAAGGUAACAAAGUUGCAGAUGCAUCGGCAAAUGAAAAGAUAAAGUCUUCAGGUUUGACGUGGUGGGACUUGUCCCCAAAUUUUGUUAUUUUCUCUUUGUAAUAACGAUUGGUUGGAGCUCUCCACCUUUUGUUUCUGUUAGCUUUUGUUGUUUUGUUAUGAUCGAGUUAUAUGUUUGUUUUUUGUUUUUGAUAAGAGUUGAGUUAGGUCCCUCCUAUGAUGUGUUUCUCUUUUUUCUUUUCAAUAAAUUACACUCGUUUCAUUGAGGUUUAAGCAAAACAAAAAAAAAAAAAAGAAUUACACUACGGGUGAAGAUAAGCGAAGAUUUUUCCGAAUAUAUCUUUACUAUUUUCCGAAGAAGCCAAGUUAAUGCUAGCCGAGCCGCAAGCAUAGCAGCUGAUUAAUAUAGCCGAAGGAUGCGCAUUGAAUUUUCAGGGAAGGGUUUGGUAUGUGACGGUGGCGCGUAUGUAUGCUCAUGAUCAAGAACUUGCCGAGAAAGAAAGAAAAACAUAUGGGCCGGCGGCUUCGCUCACGAUCACCAAACCUAAACCCUUCUCCACGCGGCGCUCUCUCCCGCCCCGAUAGGUCUACAUGCAGCAGUUUGAAAAAUCAAAAUUAAAAUUCGCAGUCACAUUACUCUGACCAAUAAUGCGACUUCACACUUUCACAGUCCAAAUCUCUCUUCCACUCCCAGUUUUUGAUCUUUGACUCGGCCAACCCCGAAACGUGAUCCCCAAGCUGCUCUCUCCCUCCCUCUGUUUCUCUCUCUAGCCGCCGCCACGCGGUCGCACUACAUUAGCUUUCUCUCUCCUCCUUCGCUAUAUAUAAGGAGCUAGCCUCCCUGCUUCCUAACCCCAACAAACCACUCCCUUUUCGGCAUUCACAACCAACCCAGCUCUCUCUCUCUCUCUCUCUCUCUCUCUCAGUUUUCUGUACCGUUCACGAUCUCCAUGGCUCGCCUGAGCGCUUUGGCUUUGGUUUUCUUGGUGGUGUUUGCCACGGUUGUGUCUACCUUAGAAGGAAGAAGGCUUUUGGACACGAAAGAAUACCAGUUCAAGAAGAAAGCUGCGUCGAAAUCGUUGGAUGGAUCUCUGUUCCUGAGUGCCCUUCCCAAGGGUAAGGUGCCGGUUUCUACCCCAAGCAAGAAGGGUCAUGCGUUCGUCGUCGACGAGAAGCUCAUUGGUCGGAGGCAUUUGGCUGGAAACGAACGGUUCCUGCAGUCUGUUCCCAGCCCCGGCGUUGGCCACUAGCACUAUACAUUCCCGGCCGGUUUUAUAAACCAUCUAUUUUUUCAUUAGGUUAUUUCUAUACAAUUUUGGUACUGUUGGGUUUAGAUGAGAAUUUCAGUGCAGUGAUGUUUAAUUGCAAUGUAUAGACAGACAGUGUAGUAGUAGUCAUCUCUUUCAUUUCCUUUUCUUGGGAUCAAAAUUGUAACUUGCAUCCCCUUAGAAUAUUAAAGACAGCUUACAGAUAUUUGUAGCCAAAUUUCAACUCUAUUGUUCUUCUUCAUUCAAUCUUUUUCUCUGUUAGUUCAAAAUUGCGCGCGAGUAAUUGAGUUCAUUUGUGACGGAUAGUCGCGCGCAAAAUUUAUCUUUAAUCUAAAAGAACUAACAACAAAAUCAUAAUCUAAUAACUCUUAGCAUUUUUAAUUACUCUCGAUCAUUACCAAUCCUCUAAAAGAAAGAAAAGGUAACCAACAUUGAAUUUCAGUAUUUUUGUGGCGAUUUUGCUUGCAUUUGGUUAACAAGGCUAAGGUUGGCAUGUUGUCAAUUAAUUAAAGUCUCUCUACAAUGUAGUUUCGCUUUCAUACAUAUAUGCUCUAUAUAGCUGUAUUUUAUCUGGGUUGGUGAAGCUUCAAUUCUUAGAGAACAGGCGGUUUUGUCAUUGAUUCUUGUACUUAUGCGUAUCAAAUAGCUCUAAGCAUCUUCUGCUAUUGGGAAAUUUUGCACUCUACUAAACUUGCACAAAUUAAUAAAGCUUUCCUUUAAAUUAAUGUUGAACUAAAAUAAAGCUUUGCAUGGACGACCAUGUAUAUAUGCAAUGCCAUUUGGCUUUCAUUAGCUCUAAUAACUUGAAAACCCAAAGAGUAAGUGUAUGUUGAACAGGCAAAAGCGCGUUUCGGAGAGUUGUCAUCAACAAAUCCAAUUGAUUCAUUGUUGUUGAUGGUUAUUGCUUGCUAUGAAACUAUCUUGUGCAAGUAAAGUCUAAAAUUUUCAAGGAACCAAAAGAAGAAGAAGAAGAAGAACAACAAAGAAUUCUUUAGGAUAAAAUUUGCUAAUGUUUUACAAUGAUCUAUCUUAAUUGAAUUGGUUGAGCAAACUACUAUCAGCCAAGAUAACUUAGCUAGGAGUGACAUAGAUCCAUGCAUGUGUGAGAAACUUAGAAUUUUUUUCACAUUCAAAAUGUGCACAUUUCAUGGUUUGAGAAACAUUAAGGUUAGUGAUCAAUCAUGUAUGUUAAUUAAAUUUGAGACCUUAUUUUUAACAGGUAGCUAGAUUAAUAACAGUAGCUAUAACCAUCAUAGUAGUCAAUAAGCCAAGAUUGAUGCAUAUAUCACUCCAAUUUCUAACCACCAAGAUUGACUAGCUUGGAGGAUGAACCCGAGAAAUUAACAUGAAAGAGCCUAUAUGCAUGUUUCUCUCAACAACGAUCGCCAUCUUAUCUUUUAACUUUCAAAUCAUCAAGAAUUCUCCAUCUAAGAUCAAGUAGCUAGCUUAGUCACAUCGAUCUCCUUGUUUCCACAACCUUUAUUUCUUCUAGCCUUCCUCAAAAGAAAAAAGAGUGACCAAAAAUAAUCAAACUAAUAAAGAAUGGAAUAUUGGUUGAUGAGUAGUGUACGUCAAAUUCCAAAGUCUGGUAUAGCGAAACUCAUUUAGUUUGGACUUUGGUCCAUCUUCCAUCCACAUCUUUCACCCUCUUGCACAUAAAAUUUCCCUGAAAUGAAGAACUUGCUAACCUUCAUUUUCAGUAUGAUUAGACUAAUUACCCCAGUCACAUAUUUUGGACACACCACCGUCGACAUUGAAUAUAUAGAACGAAGUUCACUGUGAGCAGGCCUUACUAAUUGAAUAUAUUAGUAACCUCUCUUUUCGUUUAAAUCAGUGAUCGUAUCUUUUUUCUUUCUAUCAAAACAAGUAUGUGCCAGAUAGAAAUUUGAUCAAUGAAUCGAUUAAAACAAGUAAUCCACGUCUCUGUCGGUGAGCUGUGACUUGGUUAGUUAAAGUGUUUAACUAACAACUUUAAUGUCAUGAGUUCAAACCUCACUAAACAUAUGUAGGGUAUGUGAGUUAUUAAUAAAAAAUAAAUAAAAAAAGAAGUAAGGUAAUCCACGUCCUCACAAUGUGGUUCAACUAGCAAUAUUGCUGGUAACGCAAAUCAUCGAACCUAGCUAUGAAUUACAAGAGGAGGGACAUGGGUGUCUAUAAAUUCUUUCAUUUUCCUUCGCACGUACGUUAUGUGAACUUAGUGGAAGAGAGAAAAACCCUACAAACUAGAAGACAAGUCGGCUUUUCCAAAGAAAACACACGGGGCUCCACGGACCGCCCAAUACAGUAAAAUUAUUUGACGUUGGAACUCUGUGUUCCAUUCUAUUAUUUGUGAUUCUGCAUGGGCAGUUGGGCACUGAUUCUGCAAAGAUGCUCAAGUUUAAUUUUACAUUUUGGUUGCCCAGAAGCAUAAAAGAGAUUGAAGGCUGCGGGUUUCAAGAAAUACAUGAAAUGAACUGGUAUUAUUAAGGGGGGUUUAGGGUAAUGGAGUCAAGUGAGGAUGGGUGUAACGUGCAAAACAAGUCACCUGCUUAAACAUAGGCUGCGCCACCACACCCCACCCCACAAAGAUAUUUUCAAAAUUUGACUUUUAUGUUUUCAUACUAUUUGAGGAACCUUAAUUUCAGCAAACUGACUAAUAAAGAAGGAAAAUUAUGUUGUGCCAUUAGACAUAACAUGUCUGCUGGGAACAUUGGCAGAAUUUGCAACCCACCACCCUCUGCUGGACCCCUCCCCCUCCCCCCCCCCCCAUGCUGAACCUCUCCCUCUUUAGUGAUAGGCAUGUUAUACUGUUCGGUAUAAUAGCCAAAUCCAAUAAAAAAAGCUUUCUUGCCAUGUUUCGUUAUGUUCUUAGCUUCAAAUGUUUUUCUUUUAAUUGAUAUUUUGAACUGAACAAAAUACCCUCUUAGAUAUAGAUAAUCUGAAGCACUAAUUUCAUUACUGGCAAAAUGAAAUGCGGGCAAAAGCUCAAGUUAAAUCAGAAGGUCCUUUUAUAUGGGGGUAUGGUUUGGGAUGAACAAAAAUAAUGAAAAUUACUAGCAUUACUCUCAUCUCUUAAUCAUUAUCAUGUUCUUGAAUUGUAGCCGUGUUGCUCUGUUUGAUAAUUAAGGAUUAGUUUCUCCGGUCGUCAUUCAUUAAAUUUGAAGUCGAGUGAGUUCGAUCUUCAUCAAGUGACACCAAAUCAAACGGGCCUAAACAAAGCCACAACUUGUUUCCCGUCUCUGGUGUCUUGGUUACGCAGCAAAAGCCCAAUAGAAUCACCAUAGAGGUUCAUGCAAACUUGCAAAGUGUCUGUGUGGUUAGGCUUAUUCACUAAUCAAGGUGCGUGUGAGUAUUUGAACCUCAUUACUCACAACACAAACGACGGGGAAAUUAAUAGAGAAACAUUAUUUUUACAUGUAAAAGGGUAAUUAACUUUACAGGAAGUUCACGACUAGAACCAAUUGAAGAAAGAUUGAUUAAUUAGAAGAAACGAGAGGGUAGAUUUAGAGAUACAAGAGCACAGUACGUUGCAGAUCGACAAGAAGAAGAUCGAUCGGAUCUUGGCUUAGCUUUCUAUAGGGAGAAAGGCCUGGUGAAUACAUCAAACACUUCACUUGAAGUUAGCUGUGGUUCUUGUAUCGGUGAGGCUGCAUCAAUACAAUCCUUAACCACGGUAGAUCGCAUUGCAAGCAACAAGUUUCCAUAUGUAUUUCCACACCCUCGAUCAAUGGCAUCGAUGAAAGCCCAAGUCAUUGCACCUCGUGGGAUUCCUUUCUCCACAGAAUUCUGAUGAUCAUCACAUCCGCUAAAGGAAAUGACCUCUCCACCUUUUGUUCCUUUCCAAACACCACCUUUCUUAGGUCCUCUAUGUUCCUUCCAGAACCACCUCCGUCCACUUUUGUCUAUUUUACAAAGAAACGGCAAGUCAAGAACAGUACCACUGUGGCAAGCAUCCACAAUAGCAUGCAGCUUGACACCAGCCGGAAUAGGUCGGACAAUAAUGUCAUUGAUCUCGUCAUCAACGAUCACUCCCUUAGUCCCGUAAUCUAAGGGUAAGAGUGUCUCGUCUAGUUCGUCCUCCUCGUCUCCUGUGUUGUUCGGCUUCUGAUCACCAUGACCGGAAAAAUAAAACACCAACGAAUCUCCAGCUUGACAAUCUUGCACAAGCCAACGUAGUGCUAACGUUAUGUUUGUCUUGGUAGGGGCCUGAUGACCUUUCAUUUCAGUGAGCAUGCGAAUGGAAGACGCAGGGAAUUUGAACUCACUAUCCAGCAAGGCCUGCAUUGAAAUGGCAUCGUUAGUGCAGCCAUCGAGCUCCGUAUUCUUCCCCAUUCCCUUGUAAUUUAUGCCACAUAUCACGGCUCGCUUGCGUUGGUGGGGGAACCGAGAAGGCGGAGGAGGGCGUUUGUUGUAGGAGAAAAAGGAGAAGGCAUAUGAGAGGGGAGGAGGGAGCUCGAUGUUGUUGUAGGAGAAAGAGGAGGAGUAUGACCGGGGAGGAGGAGGAGGUGGACACAUUGAGUAUGCAAAGCGCACGAGGGUCUUGCAUCUGGAGCAGCAUACAUUCUGAGAACGUGUAGGUAGUGCCUGCAGAUAUGUUUUGCAGUUUGAGCAAUUUAGAGGCAUGAACAUAUAUGGUGACUGGUGAAUUUGUUAUUAUAAGAUGUUUAUUGUGAUCUCUAAGAUUUUGAACGUAAGAGUUGAGGCUAGGUGAUGUGAAGAAACGGGUAGGAAAGAGUGGGGUUGAAGAAAGAAUCACAAACAGCAAAAUGAUACUAGAUUAGUGGUGCUUUAUAAAUUGCAAUAUUAAUCCUCACAAAGUUACGUAAGAGACUCGUAAUAUUGAAGUAUCUCCUAAAGUCGAUAAUAUGCUCAUUCUCUUUUCGAGUUGGAGACAUGUCUCUUUGCAUAUAUGAAUGUAGUAUAUAUGCCCCACUGUUUUAGCAAGACUUGCUUGGUGAUCCGGAGUUUUGAUAGUCUUGAAUUGAAGUUCAUUUGAUUAGUUCAUUAUGAGUGAUCAUCAAGAGUACCCUAACUGGUGACUAAUUUAACUACCUAACUGAUUUUAGUAAAAUCCAGUAACAUAUAUAUGAUCCAUUAUAUAGUUACCUCUCCAAUAUUGUAUAAAAGAAAGUGUAUAUUCUGGCCACUUACCAAAAAGAAAAGAACUAUCUCGGAUGCUGCUGCUUGUUUUUAAGAUCUACGUACUGUGAGUUAUUAGCUGAGUUGGGAACAAAUUUGCUGCCCACAUCUUACUAGUUGGAACACGAAAGGGAUAUAUCAUGCUGCAUGCUACUUUGUUUUUGAGGUCUACAGUGAGUUGAGUUAGGAUGGAGCACGAAAGGGAUCGAGCAGCAUCUUUCAAACACACAACUUUUGUAAUGAAAAGCUAUUCAACAUAGGAAAAAAGAAACUAUUUAGUCACAUCCGAGGCUACUUUGAUCUAUUCACCAAAUAAACUUAGUUUUGAUCUGAUUAGAUCCGCAUACCCAUUCAAAGAUAAUUUUGCAAACCAUGAAUUGUAACUCAAAUCUCAAAUGACAAUAUCAAAGGGUAUCAAAAAUUGUUACUGAGAUUCUGUUUUGUUGACAACUUACGUAAUUACUCGUAAGUUCUCAGUGCUAACUUCAAUGCCAAGCAACAGAAAGGCUUGUAUAACAAUUAAUCCAGAACCAAGAAAAAUUAACAGACGAAGUUUAGUUACAUGAAUAGAAGAGGAUGGAACAACUUAAUGUAUAUCAAAUUAGUCCAAAAACUAUACUAAACCAAAUCGAAUCAUGAACUAGCUACUAGUAAAUGUCUUGAGGAAUUAGGUAUCUUGUUUGUCCUGUGGCUUGGACCAGAAGGUGGGAUUUUAGGACGCUUUGAUAAAACAUGAGCAUGAUCCUGAGAAGCCACUUCCACCUUGACCUGGUGCUGCAUAUCUAACAGCAGCAGUCUGUUGUUCACAGCUGGAGCACUCGCCUCUAAAGCCUCUUCUGUUCUGUGACCAUUAAGAGCCACCGGGUAAGUUCUAGUUGCUGAUGUUAUGGCUGCCAAAACUGAGACAGAAAUCAAGACUUUGAUGGUGAAGAAGCAACAUGGUUUCUGACCGAAGGUGUGCAUGAUGAAUAGCUAGGAAGAACUGGUUUAGUCUGAGAAUCUGAGAUAGCUAGUGAGGACGAUAGGACACCAUCCAUCGAAGUUAUAUAUGCGCAAAAUUGCAUGCAUAAUGAACAUGUGCUUGUCAGGUUGUAUUGAAAUGGAGCAUCACAUAUUACUUUCUGGUUAGAUAGAUUUUAGCAUAGAUAGCAAUGAUGAUACUUUGGAAAGUUUAAGGAAUAAGAUAAUUUCGUCGGCGGGAUUUUCUGUCCAUGAUGUUCAUGUUCUUGUAAAUAAAGCUUGCUGACAUUGAACUUAGUCCUUUUUGAUCUCCUACCUGCCUAUUUCUCCAAUCAUAUAUCAUACCUUUUCAGUUCCAUGAUAUGGAUUAGAAGACUAUUUGAACGAUGAGCACUCUUCGUUGAUGAUUUUGUCAACUUACAAGAUUUCACUAGUUCAUCUCUUCAAAGAAUAUCCUACCAUAUCAUCAUUUCAACUUGGAAAGUAUACAAUUAGCUCCACUAUUUCACAAAAAGGAGAAUGAAAAUGGGUUUUCUUACGUAUACGAAUUAUUAGAACUCAGCUUUGGAAAUAGCUCAUGAAGGAUCAGUUUUGGAGAAAGUUAUGAAGUGUAGCUAUCUACAUCGGAUUACAAACUUUUGGCAACUUUCUUUCUGGUUCUGGUAGGCCAAAUUACAAAUUGAUUUUUGGAAUGAGCAUGAAAAGCAUUUUUUCAGAAACUUAAUUCAAGAAAGAGGGCUGGUUCAAAACUUCAAAUAGGAAAACAUCACAUAAUUCACAUUCACAUGCUUUUGAGAAGGUGAAGCACUAUCAGCAACAACUACCCAAUUCACCCAAGAGGUGGCGAACAAAUUCUAGUCAAAGGUUAUAAAAUGGAAAUCCAGAACAACUAUAGGACCAAUUCCUAAAAUGGUUCUCAUUCAUCGAAAAAUAAAUCCUAUAAUGGUUCUGUAUAUAUUUCAAGUCAGUAUCGUCUGUUAUCAUCCAAUAAAUAGAAUGAUUCUUCCAGUUUUAUCAAAUGGCCUAUUAGCUCAGCUGGUUAGAGCGUCGUGCUAAUAACGCGAAGGUCACAGGUUCGAGACCUGUAUGGGCCACUUUUUUUAACUUUUUACAUAUUUCAAGGAUUGGUUUUGUACUUCUGUUGCUCUUCCACAUGGCAACACAUGAUUUUGCUUAGAUGAGGACUGAUGUUAAUUUUACCACUCCCUGAUUUGAUUGGGUCGCUCAUAUAAAUUUAGAUCCUUUUGAUACAUACAUUUAUUAAGUGAUCUGCUUGUGAGUUCUAGGAUGGAUUAAAAUAAAUUCAGAUGUUGUUUGGAAGCAUGACGAGGGUAUUGGAGGUUUCGGCGUUGUUUUUCACGAUUUUGCGAUUAUAAAGGUUAGUUUGUUAGAGGUUUUGCUUCUAAUAUUGAUAUUCUUAGUUCCAUUGCGGUAGAGCUAAUGACAGUGAUCACAGCUAUAGAGCUUGUUUGGACUCGUGAUUGGAAGCACAUUUGGUCAGAGGUAGAUUCUUCUUCUGUACUUGACUAUAUCCGCUCUCUUUCACUUGUGCCUUGACAUCUUCGAGUUAGGUGGUUGCCUAUACAUGAUCUCUACAAUGACUUUUAAAGCUUCUCACAUAUUCAUAGAAGGAAAUAGAGUAGCAUAUGCUCUAUCUAAUCAUGAAACAUCUCUGGUAUGGUAAGAUGUGCCUCCUCCAUUUAUCUUGUUCUAUUAUGAGUGAUCUUUUAGGUCUGCCAAAGUUUAGGUUUCGUUAAUUCGUUUAUUCUGCUAUACUGAUUUUUUCUCUUGGUUUUAGAAGAUUUUUAUACUUUAUGGCUGACAUUGGCCUAGUCCUCUAGCUUAUUGUACAUUUUUUAUUUUUCAAUAAAUUUUCGUGAGGGACGAUGUUAAUCUCCCUUCGCUUGCCAAAAAAAAAAAGGCUACAAUAUUUGAUACUGAGAGAUACAAUUUCACAUCUAUCUAUGGUUGUUAUAAUACAUAAUUCAAACAAAAGCUUAAACCCUAGGAUUGGACACACAAUCAUGCCUUAACUUCAACCUCCAUGGUUAGCCUAAUGGCCAACCACUUGCUACUCCUACAUCCUUAGGUUGAUCAAGGUCCGAAGGAGGGAGGUCUCCUACUUGUCCAAGAAGAAAAGUACGACAUAUAAGUAACUGGAACUUCUUCCGAGUGCAUGUUGAACACUUCCGUGAGACCAGACACAGAUAAUCAAAAGACUUGACUUGGAUGUUUAUUCCUUUUCUGAUAUGAAUGUAGCCAGCACGCGAAAAUGUUGCCUUAUCAAAGUGGAGGAAAACAAGAACUUACAUUACGUGGUCAGCCAUAAUAAAAAGCCAGUGAGAAAUCCCUGGCAUUAUAAUGGAAGGGGGUAUCCACGGAGAGAAGUGGAAUCCACACCAGAACCCCGCUCUAAUGCCACUCUCCCAGUCCGCGCAAUCUACAAGGCAGAAAAGAAUUGUUAAGAUCUAGGAACUAAGGACCAUCCCAAGAAUCUGGCAACCAAAAUCUUAGACUAUCUUAACAAUAGAACCCUGUUGGAAUAAUGUCUAUAUGGCACAUGAUUGCAUUGUGCAUCAUCUGUCAAUGAGACGGAAAGUUGAAACUAUUAUUGAACACUUAUAUGGAAAUUCAGAAGCAAUACAAUGGAACAAAAUCAUCAUGUUCAACAAUAGUUACAAUUAAUUAUUGGUUACAACAACAAAUAAUGAAAAGACGAACCUCACAAAGCCCAUAGGGCUCUAGUAACUUCUGCAAUGCAACCAUUUUAUUCAAAUCGCCGGUAAGCUGAAACAAUUAUGAAUAACUGGUAUUAAUGAUAUGUUGUGAAACAAAGAAAUAACAACAGAUGCUAUGUCCCCAGUAUUAUGUAGUCAGCUCAAAUUGCGGAUAAAGCUCAGGCCCUGUUUAGCAGUGGCACUUCUGGAAUAUGAUUGAAAAUGCUUGAGCCUUAACCCACCAAUGAUUAAAAGGAAAAAACGUCUACCAUGCUGAUAAAAUUGAAGUACUGAACAAUCACAAUAUGUUGACUUGAAGGAAGGAAAGAGAUUUAACCUCAAGAGUAAUUGUGUGAUCAGAAACAUCAACGGCUUUAGCACGGAAAAUGCCAGCAAUAUCGAGAACAUCCCUUCUAGCAUUAGCAUUUACAGCAAUCUUUAUUAACAUCAACUCUCGCUCAGCAAAUGGCAAGUGUGUAAUAUCCCGAACCUGGAGAGACAACAGUAUUUUCUAUCAUCCCAAAAAGGCAUGAACAAAACCUAUUUUGAAGAAGCUUAGACAUACUACAGCUACCCAAAAUACAAUUCAUUAGUCAAUUAAUAUUGAACUGAGAUAGGAUGGCGACAGAGAAUAUAAGAACAGGUUGCAAUUCAUUAAGAUAAGGAUAGGAGAAUAAGAUCUGGUGCCAAAGAAUCAUUAAUAUAACAUUCGACUUCUUAAAAAGUAAUUUCAAUAUAACAGUGUACUUGGUUUUAUACCCUCUUAAUAAGUUGCAUGUUUGAAGAUAGUUGAUUCAUAACUACAAAUGAAGUAUGCAAAGUUUUCUAGUAGCCACUAUGUAUCAAUCUUUUUCUUUUGUUCUGGAGAUUAAUAAGUCCUCCCCAAGAGGAUUGCUGUAAAUCCACAAUGAGCUUGCAAAUAUGUAAGUUCAGAAACCUUACCUCAUGAAGAUCUAUUAACUUGCGAAGUUGCUGGACCAACUUGGUAAUUGUGUCAUCAGUACCAGGAACAACAGUUGUAAUGCGAGAAAGCCCUUCCUUCUCAGAAGGUCCCACAGCUAAACUCUACGAGCAUAAAGUGAAACCCAAAAGUCAAGUGAGGAAAGGCCAAAGAAAAGCAAAUAUAGAAAGACAAGCUCAGCCGGAAUAACUAACCUGAAUGUUAUAACCUCUUCGAGAUAUGACUCCUGUUACUAUGUUCAGGACUCCAGGUACAUCACUCACCAGCAUACACAAAGUGUGUGAUUGAACACCACUUGACUGUAUUAAUGAAUUGAAGAAUAUUAAAGUUUAGGUUUUAAUGCACUGAUUUGUAGAGUUUACAAAUGAAUAGGAUAUUUUGCGAACUACAGUCUAGGUAACGAAAUCUAUUUUGAACCUUGCACACCUUAUAAAGUAAGAUUUUUAAUCUUAAGAGCAAAUAGCUAUCCUUUUAGAAAAUAAGAUGAAUUACCACUUAAAGCACUCAAGGUUGUAAGAUAACUUACAUCUUCAUCAUAGAGCACACCCCAAUGAGCAUCAAGUACUUGAUUUGAAGGACAGUCAUCAUAUGGCUCCACUGGAUAAACAUCACCCUUCAAUAAUGAAAUGAGAUUCACUUACAUUCAACCCAAAAUUCAAUAUAUCAAGAAGCUCAGUCACCAAUUAAUAAUUUGAAAACAGAACUUUCCUAAACAGAAGAGAUAUGCUUUAUUGUGCAUGAUGGGAAAUGUCAUCUUGAAUCAUAAGCUAAGUCAUUCAAUUUAAUUGCAUGUGAAUGAGACACUUGCUAUAUCAUGGGAGAAUCCCUUUCAGUCCUAUUAAAUGGCCCCAUAAAACUCAUGAAUUAUGAAUAUGCAUGCAUGGUCCAACGUAACAGAAUAAAGAUCUCCUCAAUAGGUAAGCAAUAUAGGUCUCCUUCCAGAGAGAACAUAUACGGAUAUGUACCUGUGAGGCAAUACUGCUAGAACCAUUGGCUGAAUGAUUUGCUUUCACCGCAACUUCAUCAUCAGACAUUCUUUCAAGAUCAGGAUAAGAAGCUGCAGAAAAUCUCCAAAAAGGAGCCGUCUCACCCAUCUUUUCUCGUCUCAAAGCAAUCUGUCAGUAAAGUCAAAUUGAAACCUUAAUACAAAGUUUCUACAUAAUCUACUGAAAAAUUUAAGACAAAAAAUAUGGUUAUUCAAUUCAGCUACUGAAAUGCAGCACACCACCACCAUAAAAGAUUACAUAUUGUGUUGUUUGGAGGGUUAAGCACAUUAACAGAGACGCGCGCGCGCACAUAAACAAACACAUAUUUCUAGUGAUAACCAUGAGUCCAUGACAAUGAAAAUAUAUAACUUGCCUUUCCAGUUCUUGCAAGUUCUUUGAUUCCAAAUUUGCUAAAGUUUCUUUGAACAGCAACCAUUUUCCCAGGGUCUCCAGUAACCUGAGACAUCCACAGUGGUGUUAGGGUCUACAAGUCUAAAUCCAAACACAUUCAAGUUUUUGUCACUGACAACAAGAAGUGGUAGUGCAAUAUACAACUGGAGUUUGAACAAAGGAUCUGACAACAUUUACCUCAAUUGUUAGUGAGUGUUCAGAGAUGUCCACAAUUUUUGCUCUGAAGAUGUCCACUAACCACAUGAUCUAAAAGGUUGAGAACACAAACAAGAUGAAGGGCAAGGAUUUCGUAAGAUGACAAACGAGUGUCUAAGAGGGGUGCUCAGCUGUCAAACUAGGAAAUGACCACGGUUUCUUCAAAUAAUAAUCCCCAAGAAGAUGAGAACAAAAGAUACACAAACAUGCAGUAACAAUGACAGCUUCAAUACAUGCAACGGUUGGGCAAAAAUUUCAAAUAGAAAUACCUUGUUUAUUUAUCAACAGAAACAAACCAAGGAUAUAGUGGGGGACAGUUACUUGGAAGGAAUCAGAUUAAUUAUCUCACUGACCAUAUGAGACUCUUUAUCCAAACAAAUAUUGAAUGAUUUGAACUUUUACCUCUGCACGGUUGCUUGGAUCUGCAUGAAGUUUGAUAAGCAUCAAUUCACGUUCUACUUGUGGCUCCCUUGAGAUAUCUUCAACCUGACAAAGUAGAAAUAUAAGUGAAGAUGAUGCAGAAGCAAGCAUGCAAAGGAUCUCAGUUGUUGAAAUCAAAUUUAUAUGAAUUAGGCAUUGCUCUAUUGUUCAUGUAGGUGAAUAAGAUCCAACUGCCAAUUUUCAUUUCCAAAAUUCAAAAUAAGUACCAUAAAAUAAGAUUUCUAAGGAAUUCAAGUAUAACCUUUAUCACAUUCACCAACUUGUUGAGCUGUUCAACAACUUGCUGCAAAAUCUUUUCAGUCCCUGAGACAACUAUGGUAAAGAGAGCCCUGUCCUUGUUCAAGCCAACAGCAAGGGACUCAAUAUUGUAACCCCUCCUGGCAAAAACCCCUGCUAUUCGGUUUAUAAUUCCACUCUCAUCACCAACAAACACUGAAAUUGUAUGGCGUUUCACCCUGAAAUGAUAUAAUAAUCCCAUAAUCAGAACUCCCAACUUGAAAAGUAGAUAUACACAUCAGAAUUUGCAGUCAUGACCCUGAAUUCAGAAUCAGCAAGUUGGGAAGCCUAAUCAGCCCAACUGACAGGUCUAAAUACCAAGAAGAAUUGACUGUGAAUGGAAUCAAUCUCCUUAUUCAUUCUCACUAACUACAGUUCGGGUCUAUAACCGAAGACUUACGUAUCCACAUAAAAUUUACAAAUACACACUCAGUAGCCUUUUCUAGUAAUCCUACAACUUUACACUUUUGCUACCCUCCUCACAAAGACGAAAAGAAACUCAGUUCCACACUCAAUAGGCUCAUUCCUUGAACUAAACUUCAAAACUGAACAGUACUAAAAAAAUUGGAUUCUUGUCUCCAUCAAAAGUAAAUCCACCAAACUUUAACAAAAGAAUAACUUAUAUUCUCUAACUACCAAUAUGAAAAAAUUUCCUCAAAUAGCAACAACAGAAUAAAGCUACCAAACACUAGCAUCUUAACCAGGCAACUAAAACAACAAGUAAAACCCACAAAACUGAGCUCAACCCAAAACUCCCACAACAAAUAGGAACCCAAUUUCACCCAGAAACUUCACCAAACUUACCACAACUAAAAUGCUCAAUACACUCGAACCAAAACGGCAAAACCCAUAAAAGAAAGAAAAAAAACAAAUUACAGAGAGAACAAAGCUGGAGUUGAACAAAACUCACUUAGAGCGAAUCAAUGAAGGCGCAGGGUCAGUGACAGACACAGCAUUGUUGGUGCUAGCAGAGACCACCAGGUCCUUAGACGCCAAAGACUUGAACUUUAGUGGCCUCUGAUGACCAAGGUCUAAACUUUUCCGGAACCCACGUCCCAAAUCGACUCGGAAACAUGGGUUCGGGGUGAAUAGUGAAGUUGAGCACGGUGGUGAUGACAGAGAAGCCGCCAUUGUUACUGGGUUUCCAAGAAGAGAGACAGAGAGCUGAAGACGGCGCUUGGUUUAGACUGUAGAGUUUUGGUUAGGAACGCCACGCCUUUCUCGCACGAUGUUUUGGCACGUUUAAUUUGGACACUACCUCAAACGCACCGUUUUAAGCUCAUUGAUGGAGCUGAGGUACUUGCGGAUUUAAACUAACUUUAUAAGAUAUUUAGUAACGUUUGAGAGGCAUUUGAGUUCAUACCCAUGCGGAGGUCGAUUAGUCGGGUGAUUGUGUUACUAACGUUAACGUUAAGGUGGCUUGUUACCUCAUUCAGAUAAAAAAUAAAUUUGUAUUUUAAUAUCUAAAAUUUGUAUAUGCUUUAAAUAUAUACUUUUGAAGUAUAACUUAGAUAUCUCAUAUGUAUACAACAUUAUCAAAUCGGUGAAUUAAUAUCUUUUGAAAAAACAAAAACCGAGUAAUUUUGUCGCUUCUAACAAUCAGUAAGACAUUUAAGUGACAAUUGGUUACAAAACAUUUUCAAUUAAGAGAGAAAUUUUGAACUUUUAAUGAGCAAAGUUUUUUUUUUUAUCAGAUUUUAAUGAUCAGAGUUUGGUUAAUACUUUCUCAUAAUCUCAGUUUGGUUGGAGUAAUAGUUAUAUGGUAUACAUCAUCGUACGAUAUAUUGUAAUAACAUAGAGUUAGUUUAUAAUAAUGUAUUGUACGUUAUUGACACGUACCAGAUUAAGUUCUUGAAUUACAUAUAUGAUUUAAUUGUUCUAUGCCAUGAACGUUAUUUGGGAUUGCCUAUAGUGACUGGAAGAAAUAAAAAGAAAGUCUUCAAGGGUGUGGCUGAUCGGGUGUGGCAGAAAAUUCAAGGUUGGGAAGGUAAACUGCUUUCCAAGGGUGGUAAGGAGGUGUUGAUCAAAGCUGUGGCUCAGUCAAUACCUACUUAUACUAUGAGUGUUUUCCAAUUACCAACAGGGAUUUGUAAGGAAAUUAACAAGCAUGUAGCAAGAUACUGGUGGGGCAAUUCUGGUGGAAAAGGUAUACAUUGGAGGAGGUGGGAUGCACUUUGUGUGCCGAAGGGAGAAGGUGGCUUGGGUUUUAGGGAGUUUCAGGGUUUUAAUCAAGCUUUGGUUGGAAAAAUUGGUUGGAGGCUAAUUCAAGAUGAGGAGUCUUUGGUUGGUCGGAUGUUGAAGGCUAAAUACUACCCUAAUAGUUCUUUUUUGGAGGCUGUUAUUGGGAGGAAUCCUUCCAGUAUUUGGAGGGCUGUGAUGUGGGGUAAACAACUUCUAACUAAAGGUCUUCGGUGGAGGGUAAGCAAUGGGGCCGAUAUUCGAGUUUUUCAAGACCCUUGGGUUCCUGGAAUACCUGAUUUUAGAAUUGCAUGGAAGAAUGGCUGUGAUUGGAAUAUGAGAGUGAAUGAGCUGAUUUCGGUGUCCGGUUUGUGGGAUAUGCAUAGGCUGGAGCAAGUAGCUACAAUGCAGGAAGUGGAGGCUACUUAGUAUCCCUAUUGCACAUUCAAUGACACGACCACCCCGAAUUUCACCCUGAAACCCAGAGUAAGUCGUGCGGGGACCACCGUCCAAGGAAAUUUACUGAAAAGAUUAAGCAAAUCUCCCUUGCAGAUGGACAACCCUAAGUCGAAAAUUUCAUAUACACUCUUAAUUUAACGCUUCUGAAUAUCACAUAAUAUACAAAAAUUCUAAAGUAUUCAGAGCUACUAAACAUAAGCGGAAGCAAGAAAAUACGAGUAGGUUGAACAGGUAACCUACUGGCGAAAACUGGCCGAAAAGCGGGUGACUAUGCCUCGUCUCCUACUAGAUCCAACCCGAACUCUGCAGACUGGGNNNNNNNNNNNNNNNNNNNNNNNNNNNNNNNNNNNNNNNNNNNNNNNNNNNNNNNNNNNNNNNNNNNNNNNNNNNNNNNNNNNNNNNNNNNNNNNNNNNNNNNNNNNNNNNNNNNNNNNNNNNNNNNNNNNNNNNNNNNNNNNNNNNNNNNNNNNNNNNNNNNNNNNNNNNNNNNNNNNNNNNNNNNNNNNNNNNNNNNNNNNNNNNNNNNNNNNNNNNNNNNNNNNNNNNNNNNNNNNNNNNNNNNNNNNNNNNNNNNNNNNNNNNNNNNNNNNNNNNNNNNNNNNNNNNNNNNNNNNNNNNNNNNNNNNNNNNNNNNNNNNNNNNNNNNNNNNNNNNNNNNNNNNNNNNNNNNNNNNNNNNNNNNNNNNNNNNNNNNNNNNNNNNNNNNNNNNNNNNNNNNNNNNNNNNNNNNNNNNNNNNNNNNNNNNNNNNNNNNNNNNNNNNNNNNNNNNNNNNNNNNNNNNNNNNNNNNNNNNNNNNNNNNNNNNNNNNNNNNNNNNNNNNNNNNNNNNNNNNNNNNNNNNNNNNNNNNNNNNNNNNNNNNNNNNNNNNNNNNNNNNNNNNNNNNNNNNNNNNNNNNNNNNNNNNNNNNNNNNNNNNNNNNNNNNNNNNNNNNNNNNNNNNNNNNNNNNNNNNNNNNNNNNNNNNNNNNNNNNNNNNNNNNNNNNNNNNNNNNNNNNNNNNNNNNNNNNNNNNNNNNNNNNNNNNNNNNNNNNNNNNNNNNNNNNNNNNNNNNNNNNNNNNNNNNNNNNNNNNNNNNNNNNNNNNNNNNNNNNNNNNNNNNNNNNNNNNNNNNNNNNNNNNNNNNNNNNNNNNNNNNNNNNNNNNNNNNNNNNNNNNNNNNNNNNNNNNNNNNNNNNNNNNNNNNNNNNNNNNNNNNNNNNNNNNNNNNNNNNNNNNNNNNNNNNNNNNNNNNNNNNNNNNNNNNNNNNNNNNNNNNNNNNNNNNNNNNNNNNNNNNNNNNNNNNNNNNNNNNNNNNNNNNNNNNNNNNNNNNNNNNNNNNNNNNNNNNNNNNNNNNNNNNNNNNNNNNNNNNNNNNNNNNNNNNNNNNNNNNNNGGUGGCACCGCUCCUUCACGGCGGCGCUAGGGCUCCUCUCACCGGUCUAGAAAUGUUGCUGGGAGGGAGACCGACCGAACGGGACCGGUCCGGUGGCGAACGGAGGUCGGACGGCGGCGGGAGGACGGCCGGAAUACCGGUGGGUGUAGAGAGAAGAAAAUCGGGUGAGAAGAGAAGAAAAAUCGGGAGGGAGGGAGAAGAGAAAGAAGAAGAAAUGGGUUGGGCUCGGCCCAGCCGACCCAACACCCCUUUUAAACCCAAACUUCCAAAAUAAAAACACCCCGAAAAAUAAUACCCGAAUAAAAAUUACCUUUUACUAGCUAAAAUUUACCAUUUUUACCGUAGUCGUAUUUUCCUCAUACGAAUAAUCCUCCGCACAUAAUCGUCCCCGAAACCCCUCUAGGGACCAAUUAAACUAUUUACUCAAUGAUCGAGACGGUAAAAUUCUUAUUAUAAUCACGCUAGUAAAUAAGGUAAAAAUAUAAGGGUCGGGAUGUGACAUUCAACGUGUCGGGAUAAAUUGAUUUGGAAUCAAAAUAAGCAAGGGAAGUUUUCAGUUAAGAGUGCUUAUUGGUUGGCGAAGAGUAAUCGCUUCACACCGAUAGCUAUAGUGUAUUGGAAACAUCUUUGGAAACUCAAAGUCCCACCGAAGAUGAAUCAUUUUUUAUGGAGGUGUUCGAUGGGAUUUAUUCCAUGCAUGUGGUCGUUGUAUCAGAGGUAUAUUGUUCAAAGUCUUUUAUGUCCGAGGUGCCAAGCUGCUGAUGAUACGCCCUUGCACGCAACCUGGUCUUGUUCGUUUUGUGUUACGGUGUUGGAGAGGGUGAGUUUCUAUUUCAAGCUGGUUUCGGGUAUGUUGACCGACUUUUUUGAGUUUUUGAAUCAUGCUUUCAACGUUUUAACUGUGGAUGAGAUGAAAUUGCUUGUUAUAAUGCUUUGGAGCAAUUGGAGUGAGAGAAAUAGGGUCAUACAUGGAGAACGGCCUCGACCCCCACUCUAUUAUAUAUGACCAGUGUGUGUUAAUGUGGGAAAGUUUGUUGGCGGUGCAGGAUAGUAUGCAAUCACACUUGAGUAGUGGGGGGUCUAUAAUUGGUAUGGCAUGGCAACCUCCUAGCCCUGGUAUGUUAAGCUUAAAUACUGAUGCUUCUGUUAUUAAUAAUGGAGUUAAUAUUGGUGUGGGAGUUGUUGUGAGGAACCAUUUGGGGGAUCUGGUGCUAGCGGGAGGAGAAAGAGUCCAAGGCCGUUUUCAACCAAGUGUUGCUGAGUUGUUGGCACUCUGUAAGGGACUGGAAUAUGUAGUAGAGCAUAAUUGGUUAUUAGAGAAGGUUGAAUGUGAUUGUUUAGAGGCUGUGAGAGUGGUGAAUGAUGUUGGUGAGUGUUUUGCUGAAGAGAGGAUUUUGGUUGAUCGAGUUAGAGUUCUGUUGGUUGCUGUUGGUAGUCCUAAACUCUCUCAUGUUUCUAGGACUGCGAAUGGUGCGGCUGAUGUAGUGGCUAAGUAUGUAGCCCGAUUAAAUGGGCGGUUAGUUUGGUUAGGGGUUGGGCCCGAUUGACUCAUGGAUGUCAUUGUUAGCGACAGACCCGUAACUGUUUCUGGUAGUAGGGAAAUGAGUGGGGAAACUUCUUCCUCCACCGAUAAUUCCCAUGUUUUGUAACCUCUUUCUUUCUGAAUAAAUUCUGUUAUUUCUCUCAAAAAAAAAUAAUUGUGCUGUUUUUUCUAAUGUUAUCUACUUAUCUUGUUUUUCUUGUGUGUAAUUUGACAAUUGUAGACGCAUAAAAUUUAAUGAGAAUAAUAAUCAUUAGAUUAUUCAUACGACGCAUGGUCCUGACAAAUUGCAUAUGUGACUCGUGAGUAGGGAAAAUUGAAAAGUCUUCAAAAAUGACAUGUGGCGACGUGUAACUGGUCGGUCGACUACAAAAUCAUUAAUCCCGACUAAAAUCAAAUAUUAAAUGUCAAUGGAUAAUCAAAUUUCAAUCAAAUUAAAUUGAUUAUCGGAAAGGAAGUCGAACAUUUAAUCAAAUUGGCAAAAUACCUUAUCGGUCAUAAUCGAAUUAAUCAAUAAAUACCGAUUGAUUUAAUUAUGUUAAUAAUUAUAAUUAGAUCAAUCAAUCAAAACUGAUUGAUUUAAUUAUACCGUUAAGGAAAUAUAAUUAAAAUGGUGUCUUCAAAACAUUCCACAAACGGAGGAACAUCGACACUAUAAAUACCCCCUCUCAUAUCAAGAGUAGGACUUCGGGACAAGAGAGAAAAAUUACUCCCGAGAGCUCAGAAGUCUCGCAAAACCUUUGAAGAAUCAUCAAGCUGUCAAAUAGCCGAUUCUUCAUCAAUCUCAAGCCUAGAAGUUGUCAAAUCCCGAAGAGUCACCAAACUGCCAAAUAGCCGACAUCUUCACCAACUUCAAGAUGAAGAACAAAUCACCACGUGGAAUCGCUCGUGGCCAAAUCUGAUCAACAUCAAGCCUCCACGGCCCUUGGUCAACCUUCGUCUUCAACAAAUCAAAACUUUUAUCAAGUUCUUCAACAAGCUUGUGGAGAAUCAACAAGCACCAAACACACGUGUCGAUUCAUCCGCCAUCAAAGCAGAAGAACGUUCACCACGUGACACCACUUGUGGCCUAAGUCCGAUAAAAACCAAGCCUCUACGGCUCUUGGUCAAUCAACUUCUACAAAUCGUCAACACGACAAGAAGUCCAAACUACAACAAUUCGAUUCAAGAUUAAGUGCUCGUCACCUUUGGAUCAAAUCGACGUUAGAGAUUGAAUCAGAGGAAAUUCUUGUAAAAGAAUACCCACAGAGAUUGUAAUCCGCAAAUUCAUCAAUACAAAUAUUUUAUUUUGUACACGUGUCUUUCUGUUAUUCGUUAUAGGAAUUUUCGUGUUUACAAAAUUAGCACGCCCGGUGGGACCAUCUCUGCCUCUCAUCUACUCCUCCGACAAUCUCGCCAUCUUCAUCACAUGGCUUCAAAGAUGGUGCAAAUCAAAUUGAAAAACAAGAUCAACAAGGUAGCUACUCUGAAAAGCAGUAGAAACCUUAGCGGUCAUGUUGCUCAUAGUGAGUCAUAUCAACUCACAACAUUCGACCUUCAUCCCUCAAAACAGUUUCAGCUGAUCGACGCUUGGACAACAAUGGGGGCAAACACCAUGAAGCAAAGACGUUCAACAUCGUCAGGCAACUCGAGGAAACAUUCUCCUUCGCCCACAACCAAAGUUGAUUCGAAGAUAUGUCCACACUUGGAAUUGCCUCUUGACAAUCAUAUUGAAGCGAUUCUAGAAGACGACUCUUGUGCCAUGCAAAUCAUGGUGAUAGGAGUGAUCAACGUGGAAGAACAAGCGGCCCAAAUAGCUUAGUUGACUGCAGCAGUGAAGAAGCUCCAAAAGACCAUUGAAGAGAAAGAUGUAGAAAUUGCAUCGCUCAUGGAGAAGGUAGAAGUUCACCAUGAUAAUGACUCGGAGAAUAACCUUCAUGGUGAUAGGAAAUACACGUCUGGUGGAUCAUCUUCCGACCAAAAAGGGGAAUCAAAUUCCAUCCUAGCUUCAUUAAUAGUUCAACAGCUUCAAGACAUGAUCGCCAAGACAAUCAAAGCUCAAUAUGGUGGUUCGUCUCGAGAUACACUAACGUAUUCCAAGCCUUACACCAAGCGGCUAGACAAUUUGAGAAUGCCAACUGGUUACCAACCUCUCAAGUUUCAACAAUUUGAUGGCAAAGGUAAUCACAAGCAACACAUCACACAUUUCAUCUUGUGAAGCAAUUUGUUCGCUCACUCUGAGGCACGGCGUUUGAAUGGUUUACAGACUUGGAGCCUGAAUUCAUUGACAGCUGGGAGCAAAUGGAAAAUGAGUUCUUGAACCGCUUCUUCAGCACACGUCGCAUGUUGAGUAUGUUAGAGCUCACCAACACCAAACAACAAAACGGCGAGCCUGCUGUAGAGUUCAUCAAUCGUUGGCGUACACUAAGUCUCGACUGUAAAGACCGACUCUCAGAAUUGUCAGUGGUAGAGAUGUGUGGCAUGCAUUGGGAUUUGUUGUACAUUCUUCAAGGGAUAAAGCCUCGCACCUUUGAAGAACUUGCUACUCAAGCUCAUGACAUGAAACUCAGUUUGGCUAGUCAUGGCCAAAGAAAACGUGACAUCAUGGAACCAGAGAAUCAAGAGUCUUUGGCAAUCAGCACAACUCCUAUAAGGGUCAUGAAACGAGUCAAAUCAAAUAGCCAAAAGAAGUUUCAGUCAACUCAAGAUCAAGCAAGGAGGCAAACUCUAAAAGACUUGGAAGCUAAAAGUUACCCUUUUCCAGAUUCCAAUGUUGCUGAGAUGUUGGAAAACUUGCUUGAAAAAGAACUAAUCAAAUUGCCAGACUGCAAGUGUCCAGAAGAGAUGUAUCGCAUCAAUGAUCCAAAAUACUACAAGUACCACCGUGUCAUCAGUCAACCGGUGGAGAAGUGCUUUGUCUUGAAAGACCUCAUCAUGAAGCUAGCACAACAAGGAAAGAUAUGUUUAGACGUUGAAGAUGACGUGGCUCAGUUAAAUUAUGCUACGAUCUUCUUUGAACACCUCAAAGCGGUGUCCUCAACGCCUUUGCUGGGGGCAUGCAACCUACCUAAAUUCGUCUAGACCACUCAAAUGUCACCACGCUUCUUGUCCGCACGAGCUUAAACUGUGAAUGACCAAAAAAAAAAAAACUCUUUUUCGCACGAGCAUAAACUGCGAAUGACAAAAAAAAAUGCUCAUUGCCCGCACGAGCAUAAACUGUGCAUGACACCCAAGAAAAAAUUCGCUCCUUGCCCGCACGAGCAUAAACUGCAUAUGGCACCCAAAAAAAAAAAAAAAAAUCCUUGAGCUACAUCAUGACUUGAUCUCUUUCUCAUAAAAGUACGUAGGCAGCUUGGAAGAUGCUUUUGAGUCCAGUCAUAACAAAACAAGAAAAUGAGUUUGCUCGGGUUGUUGAGAGUACUGCCAUAUCAAGACAAGGAAAUGAAUUUUGUCGAGGUGUUUCCCAUGUCAAAGAAGAGACAUACAAAACUUAAAAGAGGAUGACUCUGCGCAAUUUCCGGAUCUCUACUCUUCUUUUCACAGUCGAAAAAUACGCAGAGCCUAAGCACUUUAAGUGAUUCCUCCCACUUUCAAAAAGUGAAAGAAAUCAAGCAUUUAGGUUGUUCGCGUUCUUCCUUCUGUUGUAUGUCUGUGUGUACGCAAAGCCUAAACACUUUAAGUGAUUCCGUCUACUUUCAAAAAGUGGAAUGAAUCAAGCAUUUAGGUUGUCUACGUUCUUCAAUCACCUAACGAGUCAUCCACCAAAGAUGUGACCUGAACUAUCGGAAGGAUAUGUGGCUCGGUGAGCCUCGACAAGGCUCACGGAGGGGAAUCUUUGAUCGUUGACAAUGAAACAUGUGGCUCGGUGAACGUCGCCAAGGCUCACAGAGAAGAACCAACAAAGACGGUCGGUUGUGAGUCAUCUAGUUGAAGAAACGUCAAUGAAGCUCACAGAGGUGAAAUCAUGACGAGCCAACUUAGAUGAGAGGUGGUGUCAUCACUUUCAAUGUCCUUGAUAUCUUCAAAGAUGAUGUAUGUGUCCUUCUUGAAACUCUUGAAAAAUGUCUUGUGGAGCGGUAAAGUCUACGCAAAGCCUAAACACUUUGAGUGAUUAAUCCCACGUCUAAGAGGUGGAAAAAAUCAAGCAGUUAGGUGUUUGCGCUCUUCAAUUGCCGUCAAGGUACACAAAGCCUAAACACUUUGAGCGAUUAAUCCCAUGUCUAAGAGGUGGAAGAAAUCAAGCAGUUAGGUGUGUGCGCUCUUCAAUUGCCGUCAAGGUACGCAAAGCCUAAACACUUUGAGCGAUUAAUCCCACAUCUAAGAGGUGGAAAAAAUCAAACAGUUAGGUGUUCGCGUUCUUCAAUUGCCGUUAAGGUAUGCAAAGCCUAAACACUUUGAGUGAUUAAUCUAACGUCUAAGAGAUGAAAAAAAUCAAGCGGUUAGGUGUUCGCGUUCUUCAAUUGCUGUCAAGGUACACAAAGCCUAAACAUUUUGAGCGAUUAAUCCCACGUUUAAGAGAUGGAAGAAAACAAGCGAUUAGGUGUUCGCGUUCUUCAAUUGCCGCUAAGGUACCCAAAGCCUAAACACUUUGAACGACUUAUCCCACAUCAAAGAAGUGGAACAAACAAGCGGUUAGGUGUUCGCGUUCUUCAAUUGUCACCGAAUUAUCACCAAAGUUUGAGAAAAAAAAAAAGGGUUGCUGCGUAAAUAAAAAUGAAGAAGAAGAGGUGCUGCCAUGAGAAUUAAGAAGAGUAUUCAAGGUGAUUAGAGUAGGGCUGGGCAUGGGACGGGAUAGAGGUAAUCCCACGGCCCGUCCCGGACAUUGAAAACGGGACGGGAUUUGUCAUUUUUAGAUUUCAUCCCACCCGGGCCCUAUCCCGGUUGGGACGGGACGGGAUAGGACGAGACGGGCCCAGUCCCAGAUAAAAAAAAAGUUGAAAAUAAACUUGUAAGUAAAAGAAAGAGUUUCAUAGUUUAUAGUUUCAUAGUUUAUAGUGUUAUUUACUCUAUUAAGUAUUAACAAAUACUUGUAACAUAUUUACAAGUACAAAAUGGUGAAAUAAGAGAGUUUAUACUGUUUACUUUCUCUAAACAUGUCAUCACCACUACGGUGCAAGAAAAGAGUCUACAACAAUCAACAAAUUAAAGUAUUAAACAUCAUUGUUAGUGAAUUGGAGACAGUCAAUUAACUUAAAGAAACAAAGAGCUAAGAUGAAAACACUUAAAUGAAAGGCUCAAAUCACAUUUUAAUCAAUAAAUAAUCAAUUAUUAAAAUAGCGGGACGAGACGGGACGGGGCUAAACGGGACUUGAAUUAUCCGUCCCGUGUCCCGUCCCGUUGUAUAGAGACGGGACGGGACGAGACGGGCCUGACGUUUUGAGAUUUAAAUCUCGUCCCGUCCAGGUAAAUUUCGGGACGGGCCCGGGACGGGUUCGGGAUUACGAGAUUUUAUGCCCACCCCUAGAUUAGAGAUCACCCACGUGCAUGCAUGAGUGCCAUUAGCUUUGGCAAAUGGUCAAUUUUGACCUUCAAAAAGGGUCAGAGGAUUAGUUCCAAAAUAAUUUAAGUGAAAAUGCCCAUUUGGUACUAAUUGUAACCCUUCAUUGCCUAUUCCAAUGACAAUCUUUUAUGUAAGCCCAUUUGAACGAAAGUAAACUUUUUUUGUGCCCAAAUAGCCAAAUCUUUAUUAAAGUCUUAACAAACUAUAUUAUUUUAAGACUAUUUUGCCCCCUCUUCAACAUGAAAAGACUUGGCCGGAACCUCGGACUCCGGUCACCAGAAUUUCCCCGACCGCCGGACUCUGUCACCGGAAUUUCCCAUGUAACCAGUUACUGACCAGUUAAUGACCCUUAAUAACCAGUUACUCACCCCCAGUAACCAGUUACUGACCUUUAAUAAUCAGUUACUGACCCCAAUAAUCAACUUAUUUCAGAUUAAUGUAAUAGAAAAAAAGAUUUACCAAAAAAUAAUCGAAUUGCUGACCUUAAUAAUUGAGUUACUGACCCCAAUAACUUUUAGUUUUCAGUUACUGACACCCAAUAAUCACUUAGUUUUCAGUUAUUGACACCCCUCAAUAAUCAGAUUACAAACCUCAAAUAAUAACUUAUUGGCCCUAAUAAUCACUUAUCAAUUCUCAAGAAUCACUUACUGACCCCCAAUAUUCAAAUGUAAGGAUAACAAAUAAAAAUAAAAAACUAACAAAGUAGAUACAGAGCGGAUCAGAGAAUCACAUUGAUGAUAAUCAGCUACACAAAACUGUAAUGGAAAAACGAGUACACAACAACAAACGAUCUCUAUUGUCACCGGAAAAAUUCUCAGGCACCCCGCAUCAAAUUAAAAAAAAAAACAAAUGCAACUAAGAAAGAGACUCACCAAAUAGGCAAUAACUGAAACUGAGCAUCAUCAUCAUCAUCCUACACAAUGCACAUGCCAAACCUGAUGAAGCUCCUUCCUUGACUUGAUCACCUCCUUCCUCCGUAUCAUUGCUCUGCAACUGAUUCGGUCGCACCCCAUUGGUUCCCUCAGUCGCCAUAGAAGUAGCCAGACUGGCCAGAACCUGCACUGCAGCCGGAUUCGUCGUCUCCGAUUUCGUCUUUUGCUGCUCCACUCUACCGAAAUUCAUCACACCUUUCUCCUCCUUCUCUUUACUCACCAGAAACUCCAGCACCUCCAGCGCCUUCCUGGCCCGCUUCUUCGCCGACAUCGCCUCCUUGACGCGGCGCCUCCCUGGUCUGCUUCUUUGUCGACACCGCCUCCUUCACGCGGCGCUCGGCAUCACUCCCGACGACGGCGGCGGCCUUCUUCAUCGAAUUCGUCACGAUUUUCGCGGCUGUCACGAACGCCUUGGCGGACUCCCUCCCGAGGAGCUUCGAGGUCGAAGUUGAAGAAGGGGAAGGUGGAGGACUGGGAGCAGGGAAGGCACUCGAAGGAGGCGCAGUUGGCGCAGGCGUUGUGGGCGAUGGAGGGGCACCUGACUCACAUAACACGGUCGCACGGCGGCGGCGGGUGGUCGAAGUCGAAGACGUCGAGAGAGAGAGAGAGAGAGAGAGAGAGAGAGAGAGAGAGAGAGAGAGAGAGAGAGAGNNNNNNNNNNNNNNNNNNNNNNNNNNNNNNNNNNNNNNNNNNNNNNNNNNNNNNNNNNNNNNNNNNNNNNNNNNNNNNNNNNNNNNNNNNNNNNNNNNNNNNNNNNNNNNNNNNNNNNNNNNNNNNNNNNNNNNNNNNNNNNNNNNNNNNNNNNNNNNNNNNNNNNNNNNNNNNNNNNNNNNNNNNNNNNNNNNNNNNNNNNNNNNNNNNNNNNNNNNNNNNNNNNNNNNNNNNNNNNNNNNNNNNNNNNNNNNNNNNNNNNNNNNNNNNNNNNNNNNNNNNNNNNNNNNNNNNNNNNNNNNNNNNNNNNNNNNNNNNNNNNNNNNNNNNNNNNNAUGUCGAAAGGUCUCUUCAGAGUGACUUAGGAGGCAAUUUAGUUUUGCUGGGCAACCUAGAAAUCCAUGGGAGCAUCAGAAUAUCAAACGAAAGAAUUGAAGAAAAAAAUAGGUACGUAGACCUUAGGUUCUGCUGUUGUCCUAUCAAGGCCAAGGGUCUUCUCCGCCUGCAACUUGAGGGCAAUUCAAUUGUGUUCUAUGAUCUGCAAUAAAAAAAACUAAUACUAGAAGGAUCGGUGAUUCAGAGUUUUAGACAAAGCCAGCACAGUCAAAUCAAGAGGAAACAAAAGCAGAAAACAUCACAGUAACGGUGACGAGAACCUUGAGGCAGUCGAUAUGGGGAUGCAUGUGUUCAAACUCGGAACCCUAAUUUAUAUUGAAGCCCUAGGUGUUGCUACAUGAGUAAUUACCUAGUUGAGACUAGAAAAUUAUGCAGGGAAUCAAAGAUUUCCCGCCAUAUAGCCUUAAAUUAUUUGUGUCCGAAAUCAUUGAUUGUGGGAAAUCUUGUAAACAAUCAAUCAAAUAGAGAAAGUAAUAUAUCCAAGAUUUAUUUCCAUUUACAUUCGGUGUUCAGAAAUCUCUACCGAAUUAAAUAAAAUAUGUAGGGAUCCUUGCAAAUUUAAGGAAUCUCUAUACAAGUUUGGAUGUCCUGUAAAUUUUAAGGAAUGCCCACAUAUAUAGGGAAUCAUUGCAAAUUUAUGAGUCCCUACAAAUUCGGGAUUUCUACAAAUUUAAAUGAAUUCCCACAUACAUUGAAGCCCGAGAAGUUGGCCCAUAAUCGUCCACGUCAAAAGUAUGGACUUCAAGCCACACCUCCGACACGUGAUGGCAACACGACUACGGUCCACCUUGAAGUGGGGACAUUUGUAGACGUAUAAAAUUUAAUGAGAAUAAUAAUCAUUAGAUUAUUCAUACGACGCAUGGUCCCGACAAAUUGCAUAUGUGGCUCGUGAGUCGGGAAAGUUGGAAAAGUCUUCAGAAAUGACAUGUGGCGACGUGUGAAUGGUCGGUCAACUACAAAAAUCAUCAAUCCCGACUAAAAUCAAAUAUUAAAUGUCAAUUGAUAAUCAAAUUUCAAUCAAAUUAAAUUGAUUAUCGGAAAGGAAGUCAAACAUUUAAUCAAAUUGGCAAAAUACCUUAUUAAUCAUAAUCGAAUCAAUCAAUAAAUACCGAUUGAUUUAAUUAUGUUAAUUAUUAUAAUUAGAUCAAUCAAUCAAGACUGAUUGAUUUAAUUAUACCGUUAAGGAAAUACAAUUAAAACGGUGUCUUCAUAACAUUCCAUAAACGGAGAAACGUCGACACUAUAAAUACCCCCUCUCAUAUCAAGAGGAGGACUUCGGGACAAGAGAGAAAAAUUACUCCCGAGAGCUCAGAAGUCUCGCAAAAUGCUUGAAGAAUCAUCAAGCUGUCAAAUAGCUGAUUCUUCAUCAACCUCAAGCCUAGAAGUUGUUAAAUCUCGAAGAGUCACCAAGCUGCCAAAUAGCCGACAUCUUCACCAACUUCAAGACGAAGAACAAAUCACCACGUGGAAGCGCUCGUGGCCAAAUCUGAUCAACAUCAAGCCUCCACGGCCCUUAAUCAACCCUCAUCUUCAAGUCUUCAACAAAUCAAAACUUCUAUAAAGUUCUUUAACAAGCUCCUGGAGAAUGAACAAGCACCAAACACACGUGUCGAUUAAUCCGCCAUCAAAGCCGAAGAACAUUCACCACAUGACACUGCUCAUGGCCUAAGUCCGAUCAAGAACAAGCCUCUACGGCCCUUGGUCAAUCAACUUCUACAAAUCGUCAACACGACAAGAAGUCCAAACUACAACACUUCGAUUCAAGAUUAAGUGCUCGUCACCCUUGGAUCAAAUCGACGUUGGAGAUUAAAUCAGAGGAAAUUCUUGUAAAAGAAUACCCACAGAGAUUGUAACCCGUAAAUUCAUCAAUACAAAUAUUUUAUUUUGUACACGUGUCUUUCUGUUAUUCGUUACAUGAAUUUUUGUGUUUACAACAAUGACAAAUGUAUGUGUUGUUUCCAUUGACAAGAUUCUAUUUUUUGUAUUUAUUGAUCACUAGUAAAUAAGUUUAAAAUGUCACUAAUUUUGAAAAUGCCCCACUGUCAUGGACUAACGAAAGAUCCCAGUAAUGCUAGUGUAACUUCUACAGAAGUGUCCUUUCUAGCAAUCUCUCAUCUCUUGAGAAGUAGUCGAUUUACGUUGUAUGCUUCAAAGAGGGAGAUGCUAUGGAGGUGUAUGGUUGUACCUUUCCUACUUGUUUAUCUGUUUGGAUAUAUUCAACAUCAAAGUAUGAUAGCCGACGUUCUUUUCUAGGCGCAAAAUGUUAAAAUGGAGUCUGAUCUUGUAACAGAACCAGAUCCUCAUAUGAUAUGUUUUCAAUAUCACAAUCUAUAUUAUAGAUUGAGGAGUUUCCAUCUUAGAAAAUCAAUUAGGCAUGAUUCACAACUUCCCUAUAGAGUAUAGGAUAAUCCAUUUGAGCAAGAGAGCUAGACUUAACGUAUGAACUAGAGGAGACCGACGACGACAAGUAGAGGCCUCGCUGGAGUAUAAAAGGCGGAAUCGGCGGCGGAUUUGAGUGCGCUCUUACAGAGAGAAAGCCAUACGGGACAGUGCCGCGCUCUGAUUUCAAGUACGAGGCUUCUUCUUGCACAAGACUAAUGUGUUUAGCUAUAAAAACAUAUAAUCAUACCAUCAAUUUUAACAAACAAUUAGCUAGUAUACCCGUCAUUAUUUGAUCUAGUAUAUUUCAACCCACGUUUUCCCUCAAUUACGAAUGCACAACUCACUGAUACAGUGAUACAGAGCUAAUGCAACUACAGAAAGCUCCAUCACACCAAGAACACCUUGAUUUUCAAGAGGCUAUUUUUCUUUGAAAGCAUCUCAAGCAAGACCCAUAAAUAAAACGUGGAGUCUUCAAAAACAUAUUCAAGUUGAUGAUGCCCUAACCACUUUCAUCGUGCAUGUUUAUAAAAUACACAUUGCUUUCAUGCAUGAAAAAUUAGGUAAUACAAAUCUUAGGUCAAAAGAAAACACCCGCAAAUAUGGUCAAACUCUGUGACUCAUAGUCUAAAUAUAGAAACAUAUUUUUUCUUAAUAAACACGGGAACGUAUCAGAUCUAGUAGAAAUAAUCAAAAUUCAAAACCCUAGACCAAUAUAUUCCAGCGGGGAUGAAAACGACAAUUCACUUCUGGUCAUUCAACCCUAACCACGCAAAAACCCCGAUUUUUCAAUUCCCAUUUUCCAACCACGUGCCUGCCACGUCGGUUUUCUGAGUGUCAUCGGUGACGUCAUCUCCCAUUUUUUCACCUUAUCCGGAUUUUCCUUUUGGUAUUAUUGUAGCAUCGACCAUGUGGCAACUUGGGCAACAUGCCUAGCUAGGGUUGCUUCCAUGAUGCUAAAGUUGCACAAUAAUGCUUUGGGACCAAGUUUUCUAUUCAUUUGAUGUGGAUAAUGACAUGAUGGUUGUAUCAUUUCUACCUUCCAAUACUUCUAGCAAUCUUAUAUAUAAAUGACCAUAUCUUGUGUCUCAUAUAACAACAAUUCUAUAAAGAUCUUUCAAAAAAAAUAUUAGAAUAAGAACGAUAGUAUUACAGAGUUUUUCAUUUUAAUCAAAUAAACAACUCGGAUGCAAUAAUUAGUUAUUUCUGAAUCGACCUUAUCGUCUCUUAUUUUAAUAGAAGAUUUUAUGUCUCUAGAAAAUAAACAAAGGGAUUUUGAAUUAGAAUCUUCUGAAAAUAAUCAAAAUAUUGCUAGUCAAGGGAGUGAGAAAACGACUCCGGAAACGUCUAGAAUUUCACCCCCGGUAACAAGCUCUACUGUUCCAAGUCCCCCAGACACGUAGCAGGCACGGUGCCGGAAACAACUCUUGUCACCACGUCUCGUGACGUCAAUGGCGGACGGCGGAUAUCUAACCGCGACCUGCAAAACAUGAGAUCACUUUCACCAUCGUGUGUGUGGAUUAGAACAUCCCAAAAAAACGACGUGUCGGCCCCACCCGGAGUUAAGCUAACAACGAGCGCUGCAAAAUGCUGACGUGUCCCCACCCCUGUUCACACGGCGUGUCGUCGGCCACCCCGGAGCCUUCUGGAUUCCCGCCACGUCAUCAUGUGCCCUUGCUAAGGGAGGGCAGUAAUAAAUACCAGGGGUAGCGCGUGGACCCGACGCGCCAGCAGAUACCCAGUUGGCAUUACUGAGUAGCCUACUGGCCAAACCUUAUCUUCUUCAAUUCUUUAACUUUUUAUAUUUUGUUUUAUUUGCAGGAAAAAAAAAUAUACAUAUUUUUGUUUUAGAAAUUAAUGAAAUUUUUUGGUUCUUCCAAAAGAGAGAAGCAUUUGGUAUAUUGGAGAGGGUGAGAGAGAAGAAAAAGAAAAGAGGAGGAAGAAGAAGCGACUCUUGAGCAAAGCAUCACCAAACCCUAGAUUCAAUUUCCUUCUCAAAUUACCAGACUUUCAUUCUUUUUUCUGAAAUUUCAGAUCCAAAUUGAUCUGGGUUCGAUUCAAAAUUCGUUCUUGCAAGCCCUAAAAAAGGUAAUUUCUGAUUCCCAUUCCUUGUUAAUCAUUGCCUUUUGAUUAAUUUCAAUGCAAAGUUUUCAUCUUUGCUGCAGAUUCUAUAUUGUAUUGAAGUUUUGAUUAGUAAAUGGUGACUUGCUAUGUGAUCGAAUCGAAUUUAGAUUAGUUUUGGUAUGAAAUUUUUGAUUCUUGGUUAUUGUAGUGAUGCCUGGUUAAUUCGUUUUUAUUACAGAUCGCACUGAAUUCUAGUGUUUUGAAGAGUCAAGGAAUCUUGGGUUUGGUUUACAUUUCUGAGAUCUUUGUUUUAGAGAUUCUUAGAGUUGAGGGGAAACCCUGAUUAGAAGUUAUUCAAGAUGAUGUCCAAAUCGUAUACCAACCUUUUGGAUCUUGCUUCCGGCAACUUUCCGAUAAUGGGUCGGGAAAGGAAGCGGCUGCCGAGAGUUAUGACCGUUGCCGGGGUUAUAUCGGAGCUUGAUGAUGAUAACGCCAAUAGUGUGUCGUCAGAUGUUCCGUCGUCGAUUGUGCAGGAUCGGAUUAUUAUUGUGGCUAAUCAGCUGCCAGUGAAAGCUAAGCGUAGACCGGAUAACAAAGGGUGGAGUUUUAGUUGGGAUGAGGACUCGUUGUUGUUGCAGUUGAAGGAUGGUUUGCCUGAAGAUAUGGAGGUUUUGUAUGUAGGGUCUUUGAAUGUAGAGGUGGAUUCGAAUGAACAAGAUGAUGUGUCGCAGCUACUGUUGGAUAGGUUCAAAUGUGUUCCGGCCUUCUUGCCGGCUGACAUUUUGGCCAAGUUUUAUCACGGGUUCUGUAAGCAGCAUUUGUGGCCUUUGUUUCAUUACAUGCUUCCGUUUUCUGCAAAUCACGGUGGAAGGUUCGACCGAACUUUGUGGGAGGCAUAUGUGGCGGCAAACAAGAUCUUUUCACAAAGGGUGAUUGAAGUCAUAAAUCCUGAGGAUGAUUAUGUAUGGAUUCACGAUUACCAUUUAAUGGUGCUGCCAACCUUCUUGAGGAGGAGGUUCAAUAGAUUGAGAAUGGGGUUUUUUCUUCACAGCCCCUUCCCGUCAUCCGAAAUUUACAGGACUCUACCUGUCAGGGAAGAGAUUCUGAAGGCGCUUUUAAAUUCAGACCUUAUUGGUUUCCACACUUUUGAUUAUGCUCGGCAUUUCUUGUCUUGUUGCAGCCGAAUGUUAGGUUUGGAGUAUCAGUCAAAAAGAGGUUAUAUUGGGUUGGAUUAUUAUGGAAGGACAGUCGGGAUAAAGAUCAUGCCUGUUGGGAUUCACAUGGGGCAGAUUCAGUCAGUGUUAAAACUUGCAGACAAGGAGUGGAGAGUGGGAGAACUAAAACAAAAGUUUGAAAAAAAGACUGUGUUGCUUGGAGUUGAUGAUAUGGACAUCUUUAAAGGUGUCAAUUUGAAGCUCUUGGCUAUGGAACAGAUGCUGAAGCAGCACCCUAAGUGGCAGGGUAAAGCAGUUUUGGUACAGAUAGCAAAUCCAGCUAGGGGAAGAGGCAAAGAUCUUGAGGAAACACAGGCUGAAAUCUAUGCAAGCGUCGAGAGAAUAAAUGAGAAAUAUGGUCAGAAUGGAUAUGAACCUAUUGUCUUCAUUGAUAAACCAGUCUCUCUUAGUGAAAGAGUUGCGUAUUACACUGUAGCAGAGUGUGUGGUGGUCACUGCUGUGAGGGAUGGGAUGAAUCUUAUUCCCUAUGAGUACAUUGUAUGCAGGCAAGGGAACUCUACAUCAGAAUCUGAAUCAGAAUCAGAAUCCAGUGGGCCCAAGAAGAGCAUGCUGGUUGUAUCAGAAUUUAUUGGUUGUUCACCUUCACUUAGUGGUGCAAUUCGGGUUAACCCAUGGAAUGUUGAAUCAACAGCCGAGGCCAUGAAUGAGGCAAUUUCUAUGGUUGAGCCUGAGAAACAGUUGCGCCAUGAGAAGCAUUAUAGGUAUGUCAGUACACAUGAUGUUGCCUACUGGUCACGAAGUGUUUUCCAGGACAUGGAGAGGACGUGCAAAGACCAUUUUAGAAGACGUUGCUGGGGAAUUGGUCUGGGUUUCGGCUUCAGGGUUAUAGCACUGGAUCCUAACUUCAGAAAACUGUCUAUUGAUGCCAUUGUGAAUGCUUAUGUGAAAUCUAAGAGCAGGGCUAUAUUGUUAGAUUAUGAUGGCACUGUGAUGCCUCAAACAUCUAUAAAUAAGACCCCAAGUCAAGAGGUUAUCUCUCUAAUCAAUACACUCUCUGGUGAUGCUAAAAACACUGUUUUUGUGGUCAGUGGAAGAGGAAGGGAUAGUUUGAGCAAGUGGUUCUCUCCUUGCAAGAAACUUGGAAUCGCUGCUGAACAUGGUUAUUUUGUAAGGUAUACAUAUCUGUUUUUAUUUAUUAUACAGUUAUCCUUGGUUUUCUUUUGCUUUGUACUCAUAUAAAUUGUGUUCUGUUAGAUGGUCUGCCGACAAGGAUUGGGAAGUUUGUGGACAGAGUAGUGAUUUUGGGUGGAUACAGAUAGCUGAACCAGUCAUGAAAUUGUAUACAGAAGCCACCGAUGGGUCUUCUAUUGAAACCAAGGAGAGUGCCUUGGUGUGGCACCAUCGAGAUGCCGACCCUGGUUUUGGAUCCAGCCAGGCUAAAGAAUUGUUGGACCAUUUGGAAAGUGUUUUGGCAAACGAACCAGUAGCUGCCAAGAGUGGUCAAUAUAUCGUAGAAGUAAAGCCACAGGUGAUUUUUCUACCCUCCUUCCAAAUUAUUCAACUCUAUGUCAAUGCAACCUUUCACCUACUUGUUUGAAUCUAAUAUAUACUAGGACAAUCUCCACAGUUACUGUCUAUUCCCAUUUUUACCACUUCAAAUUCUCCCAAGUUUAUUGUUGGAACUGAUGGAGGACAACACAAUACCAUUUCCCUCUUUUAUAUUUAGAAAUCUUAUUCUGUGAGUGUGAUUCAGUUGAUAAAUUUUCUAUGCAAUUCAUCAAUUAAUUAAUAGUAGUAGUGCUUUAGACUUGUAGGUCUUUCUGAAUAAGCCACCUCAUUAGUUAGCAUGUGUAUGAUAACACUAAUAGAGAUUUGUAAAAUCUCAGAAUAUGUGCAUAAUACUGCUAAAGGUGGGAGGACACUCACUUCCUUUGAUAUGGAAAUUAGUGAGUAUGGCUUCAGAUAACAUAAUCAAGUGACCCCAAUACUGAAGUGUGUUUUUCCUUUUUUUGGGUGGUAUGAGGGUUCCUCGUAGCCUCGCACCAAUAAUAUGAGAACGUAUAUCAAAUUUUUUGUUUGCUGAUGAGAAAAUAUUCAAGUAUUGCAGUAGAUAUUGUUGACCUAAUAUGGGCAGUUGCAAUCAAUUUGAUUGUGUGAAAAUAAUCAUGAUGGUUGAAUCUUUACUUGUUCUGGUUCUCAGGGUGUCAGUAAAGGCCUGGUUGCUGAAAAGGUAUUCACAUCGAUGCACGAGAAUGGGAAGCAGGCAGAUUUUGUUUUGUGCAUUGGUGAUGAUAGAUCUGACGAGGACAUGUUUGAGAUUAUCGGCAAUGCACUCAAUAAUGGUGUCAUCUCCUCUACUACAAGUGUUUUUGCAUGCACUGUUGGACAGAAACCCAGUAAAGCCAAGUACUAUUUGGAUGACCCUUCUGAUGUCAUAAUGAUGCUUGACGCUCUUGCAGACGCUACAGAUUCUCCACCUUCCUCUGAUGGCGAAACAGGAAGCCCUUGAGACCUUCCUCCAUGACCUUGUUAGACUCAGUGUCUUCUUCACAAAGGCAAUGAUGGUUAACUGCAUGCUGGGCUUUGAUUGAUGAAAGUGAUGAUCCUUUCCUGCUUUCUGGGAGCGACAUAUUGGAGAAAGCAUCCUCUAAGACCUUCUGAACCAAUAUAUGCAGCCAAUUCCCAACCAUCAUUGGAUUUGAUAACUUCUGUGCAUAGACAAUCAAUGCUGAGUGUGGAUUAUAGUAUAGUCGGUUUACUUGGUAAAAUAGAACAGAACUUCUAGGUCAGCGCAUACUUGUGAAAGAUUUGAUGGGGGACUUGGACUUUGAAAGGAAAUGCCCAAACCAGUGGUUGGAUCUUAUUCAUGUGAAGGUUGACAUGUCUGAGGGAGGUCGAUUAUGCUAAAGGUGGGAAGUAGAAAGGGGUCUGGGCUGGUCAGUCAGAAUGCCCAUUGAAACAAUAUACUGGUUUUUCUUUUUGGAGUGAAUUUGCUUUGCCAUUUGUUUCCGGGAUCAAUUCCUUUGCUUAUUGAAUCUGUACAUUAUAUAGCGAUAUUUGCAAGAAAUGAUCACGCUUUCGAAGAUGUCCCAAAUGAUGCAUAUUUCAGGUUUCUGAUACUGCAAGUUAGCACAGUUUUGUUUUUUUUUUUUUUUUUUCUUUUUGGUUGGCUUCCAAGAGGAACUGGUGCCCCUAUACGUUCCAGGGUUGGAGAAAGGAGCUGGACAAAUAUAAACAGACAAACAAGGACUGCAAUUUGCUUUGAGAAUCACAUUUCAAGUGCAGAACCAAACAGAAUCAGACUCCAAGUACCAACAUUAUCUCUGAUGGGUCACCCUAAUUAUUAUUUUCCCAGAGAAAUAAUUCCAAGGUUUGCUUAUUUACUGUAAUGUUGAAUGGAGUGAGCAAGGGAAAUAUCCAAAUCUACUCUCUUUGGAUUAAGCCAAUUGACAAAGUAGGGGUAAGAAAUUGAGUUAGAACUGAGCUAGGUAAAAAUUCUGAGCCUCUCAACUGUAAGCAAACAGAAACUACUCAAGCUCACUUGGAAUUUGAGGAUUGAACAGAAAGAAUAAUGCAUUGUGAAACCAAAAAAAGAGUAAGCACUGGCUUCCAAAUGCCACCCAUGCAAACAGUAUGGUUCCUGUGACUCUGUGAGUAUAUAAAGGAGCCAAAAUGUUUAUGCAGGUAAAGGAAAUUGUAGUUGCUACAUGUAUUAGCACUAGAUUCCUACACAAAGACACAGAAGCAAAAGCCUGCAGUGAGUUAGAAGCUGUGGUGUCGUUUACAAGGCACAGAAGCCCGUGAAUUAUGCUCAGACUUGUCACUUCCCAAUCACCUACCUCUUCUUCAGCCCUACCUAGCUAUACAUGUACACACCCAAACUCGAUACAAAAUCGGAGUCCUUGCCAAACUCACAAAGAACUAAUAAAAGUAUCCCAGUUGAAAUCAUAUCCAAAGCAAUAAAAUGUUCAGAAAUAUAAAUUCCUAAGUAAUAAAUUGGAUUAGCUCAUUAUCUGAAUUCGAUUCUAUAGUUUAAAUACUCCAGAGUAGUAUACAAGUUUUCACUAAUUACACUUGUUUCAAUGACCAUGGAACCCUAAACAUAGUAGAAUUUCCUGGAUCGUGCAAUAUUAUUACAGAGGCAUGUUGCAUUACAACAACUGCAGAAGGACAUUUCACAUAGAAUUUUUACCUUAACUACUUAAACAGAAACCCCCAAAACCUGAUCAUAUCCUCUCUGACCAAAUUUCACAAAUGGACCCCAAAUGCCAUCGUUGCAGAAAAUAUGCUUAUGCUGAAUUGCUUAGCUCACCUCAGGUAGGGUGACAUGACAAGCUCCAGUGAAAAGUGAAACACAAGUUAAGAGAGCUAGCCUACACUUACCUCUAUGGACCCGCAUCCAAAUCCAACGGCUCUCAUUCAUCAUCACUGACAUAAACUACUACUGCCUAGAACCACCGGAGCUAGCUGUAUAUUCGCCGGAGACUACUACUCACCGGAGACAAGUAAACCAAGCUCUGGAACAACAUCUUCCCGAUUGUGAACCCCGGCACGACGGUGAAGCUGACUGAAAACUCGGUAUCGGAAUCGUUGACGGUGACGGACUCCAUGAACACCUCUGAGAAUCUGCGGUUCUUGUUGACCUGAAAGAUCGAGACUUGCUGACCGAACGAGAAGGCCAAGCAGUGGAGAAGCCAAACCCGCAUGGACAUCUCAACAAAGGCUUCGAAAAACGGCGUAUCGGGAACCUCGCCGGAGUUUAUGAGCUUUCUCUGGUUUAAGUUCCCGAAGAGGGAGCACUCCAUUUUGGCGUGGACUAGUUGGAGGUACUUGGCUCUUGUGAACUUAGAGAACAAAGCUGUUUGGUUCUGGGAGAUGAAGGACUUUGGGUUUGCUUGUUUGAGGUUGUUGAACUGGUCGAAGUAGUGUUGUGUUUUGUGAGUACUAGGGAGUCCGAAGUUUGGGUUAGUGAAGCCUUCGAGCAUGGUUUUGCUAAAGAAAGACUCGAACGCGAAGCAGCGAUGGCUUUGCUUAGUGAACUCUGCUUCUGGCUCGAUGAACUUGAUGGCUGUGUCGAGGUCCCAGCUUGCAGACUCCAUUUCCUUGAUCAUUAGUUUCACAAAGCUUCGUAUGGAUCUUACGGUCUGCUGAUGAAACUGCGCGAAAUGCGUUGGUGUUAGUUUUGAGAGGCGGAGGUUGUCGAAGAUCGAGAGCGGGCCGCUGGAUUUGAGCUUGUAUUCGAUGCCUCUGUUGGUUGCGAGUAGUUCUUCGAGUUCGGAUUGGAGUUCGGAAAGACUGAAGGCUUUGCGCUGAGCUUCUAGCUCGAGUUUCUUGAUGGUGAUCUCGUACGUCUUCAUUAGUCCCUGUUGCUCUUGAAUCUCGGCGAGCAUUAGAGUCACCUGAGGAGAGAGAUCGAGCUCUUUCUUAAGGAAGCUGCGCUUCAUUUCCGAAAUGGCUUUGAGCUCGUCCACUACGGCCUGGUCAGCCACCUGAAUGGCUUCGUUGUUGUAAGGGUUCUGCGCCAUUUGGAGCUCGGCAUAAGCUGCUUUAAUGGAAGUGAUUCCGGCAAAGAGCUUGGCAAGUAAAGCCUCCAUGACUGCCCUGUUCUUGGCUUUAAGAUCCUCCAUUUUUUCGAUAUCGUGUUCCUCUUUGGUGGCCUUGGUGUUGGGUUUGAGCUUGCAAAUGCCAUUGUUGGAAGCGAUUUUGGUCGCGGCUCGGAGGCUGAUGACCUUGUGGAACGUCCUGGAAAGCUUGCUCUUCUUGAUCGGAGCCGAUUUGGGUCUGACUGUAUUCAUCUGAAACAGUGAAAAAACAAAUUCAGAAGCUCAAAAGAGAGAGACUAUAAACUUGUUGGGUGGGUGGGAGGGAAUAAAUGUGUUUGAAAGGGAUUGCAGUUAAUAUGAAAGCAGAGGCGCAAAGUUUGACUAUAAUGAGGUUGAAGAGAUCGAGCCGGAGAUGGAGGCAAGUAGUUUUAAAGCGCGGGAAAAAGGAAAAGGAGGAGGAGGAGAUAGAUAGAGAGGAGGAACUUGGGGGGAUCAGAAGGGGUGGAAAAGUCGGGUGUGUAUGUGUUAUUUUAGUGUUUCUUGGGGUGGUGAGGUUAUAAAUGGUGGUGUACAGAGAGGGAUUGAUUGCUACCAUCUAAUAAUGGACCCUACUGGAGUUAGGACUGUAUCAUCAUCCAUCAUCCAUGGGAGGAGAGCCAGGAAGAAGAAGACGCAGAGAGGUCAGUACUGUGAAGAAUCGUCACCAUUAUAAUUCACAACCUCGCAGUAAUCUUUCUCUCAUUAUUGACAUAAAUUCUACCAUAUUUCGGAAUAUGCAUGUAACGGUCGGUUUUUGAAACUUGAAUGUUCAUUCUUGUAAAUGAACUUAAAAUAAUAUUGAUUUUGACUAUCAUACUGUCAACCUGUAAAUAAUCGAGUAACUUAUAUACAAUAUUUUGAUCCGUUCAUCUUUAUCGCAUUAUCAUGCAUAUAUACUAAUACCGUUAACAAAAUUAAAAUCUAAAAAAAUAGUCCUAAGUGUUUUCAUCACAUGAGAUGAGAACCCGAUGUCGAAAAAGACGUAUUUUUAUUAUGGGCGCUUAAUUUCAUUGGAUCAAAAAUAAAAAUAAAACGAAAAAUUUAGGAUCUCUAGUCUUCAUUCGAUCUUCGGAUAUAGUGAUCUAAGAAUUUAUGCAUUAAUGAUGCAAGUGCAUCUUGGUGUGUAGAAUCCGCUCCGCCAUAUUGUAAAGUGAAAAUAUAAAUAGGGCAUCUGAUUAUCAUAAACAUAAGUUUGGGAUUACUAAAAUUUAGAGGGACUGACAUUGAGCGAACUGCUUGAUUAAUUGUAAUUACUCUCAAUAAUGUUAUCUCUAACAAAGCACGAGCAUUCCUUUCGUGCAAAUAUAAUUAAGGUGGGAGGGGGAAUCUUAAGCAAAUGCAUGUUGUAAUCCUCUAUAACACAGUUGUACGUUAAAGAAUGCGAAUAGGAAGUUAUGUAGUUUCCAUGUAGUUUUCUUAUUGUUUUCUUGAGAUUCAAGAAUAAUGACUACUGUAAAAGUUAAUGAAAUUGAUAGUAACAGACUAACAGUUAACCUAUCUAGUUGACAACGUAGAACUGACUAUUGUUUAGUUCAUUUCAUUUUCUUCUCUUAAAUUUGACAGGAUAGUAUAUCAUUUAAUUUGACAAGUAUAUGUAACAAACUUUUGUUAGCAAGUAACUAUGUGGAUCUGAAAAGUUUAGCUAGAAUAUGCAAUUUGCAUAACAUUGAUCAUCUCUAUUGAGUUUACCAGUUAAAUUGAUAUGAAGAUGUUGGUUCUUGCAAUUUUUUUUUUUCUUAGAACAGAGCUAACAGUUGUAGGUUGUCCUGGUUUUGGGCAGGCACAGAUAUGGUUCGGAAUUUAUUGAAUAUCUGCAAUGCAGUAUGGGACCUGAUGAUGGAUGAGAGCUAGGAGAGUUGCAUUUCAAAAGAGACAGAGAGCCGAAAGAAGAUUGUGACGAUAUCAACAGUAAUCUGAUUGAUGUGACCACCCUACUACUUAUUAUGUAUCUUCAUUCUUCAAGCAAGAAAUAUCCAGGAGCGCGUUCAUAGUUCUAAUCGGGUUAUAACUCACUUGUAAUCGAAUUUUGUUCUAAAUUACUUGACUCUAAUGAAAUUUACCAUCGUGUUUUAGUCGAACUCAUUUAGUCGCUAAAAUUCGUGAGAAGCUAAACAUUCCUACUCAUCAUGCAUGGUUACUUAACAUUUCUCAAUAGAAACUUACAUUUGCAAUUCAUAUGUUUUUUUGGACAGUAAGACUAUUAUCCAUAAGAUGAGAUUAAGAGUCUAAAGUGUGACAAACUAAUGUGAUUAUUCUUAAUGAUGGAUCAAUCUAGCUUCAACCUUUGAACCAAAUAGUCCCCAUUCAAUUGUGUCUCAUUCUUUGCUCUAAUGCCUUGAACAUGCAUUGUCCCUGUCCCAGUCCCACAAGGAUAAUUAACACUUUCAGCCAUGAGUAGUAUAGUGUUCAUUGUUCAAGAAAUUGAGCUAGCUAGUCAUUAUAAAAGAGUGUAGUUGAUAACUUUGAUAUAUGUUUCAAAUUCAAAUUAGUGCGCGUUGGGCAUUAUUACAGACAAUAAGAGUGUAGGGUAAUGAAAUAAAAAGAUUAAUAUACUGAAGGCACUCCCAUCCCUACCCAAUAAGAAACUAAGAAAGUAUAUAUAGCUUGGACUGCUCUCGGUGCCUUUGUCAUAGAAAACUUUAGGAUAUAGAAGUGUGGGAUUUGUCUUCGUUUAUAUAUGAUAGAAAAAACAGAGAAGAUAAUCGGGUUAAUUUGCUAUCAUUUUAUAUUGACACUCAUUACAUGUUUGUUAAGAACUUAAGAUGAACUUGCAGGCUUUGAAAAAGAAGUGAUGAAUGAGAUUGUGCAUGUCCAUAACUAGCCUUCAUUAAGGAUAUAGUUUGUAUAGACCAUGUACUUUUGUUUAACACUUGCUUCUAAUUUUUGUUAGGGUCAAUCAUGGGACCAGAAACAUACUCCAAGUCUCUUAACACAUGCAAUUAGUCCCAUCAUUAUCAUUCUUCAUUUAAGUUUGAUUUGUAUUUCAUGUUCAUUGAAAAAUGAAAAUACAACGACAUACAUUUUGAUUAUGCUGAGUAUAUAAAAGUACCAUACUAGAAUGACCAUCGAUACAAAUGCAAAUUCUUGUUACGUAACACUUGGAAUGAAUAAUGAUUGAAACCAAAACAGAAGAGGAGACGAAUUAUUUGAAAAAAUGAUUCACAACAAUUCUUUGAGACAAAGGUACAAAUGGAUCGAGACUUUGGGUAUACAAAACUCCUUUUCGAAUAUCCAUUCUAUAUCGGACAUACAUCACACAUGUAUAGUUGUAUACUGUAUGAAAUUAUACAACACAACCUUUUUCUUUCUUGGCAUGCAAUUUUGCUUUAGGUUAUAUCAUUACGUAGACUAGGAUAUAUAUAUAUAUAUAUAUAUAUAUAUAUUACACCUAAUUUUUUAAUUGAAAGUUUCAUGAUCUAAAAGCCUAAAAGCUUUCGUGGUCUUCACUAUCUGUGUAAUAGCCAUAUUCAUGCUGAAUUAUUUCAUCCAAUGAGCUUCUUGGGGAAGAAACAGAAGACAAUUCGAUUAUUAGUAGUAGUGUAAUCUACGAUAACAAGAGAACUAUGAUUUUUUUAUUUCUGCUUUAAGGUUGUAAGCCAUAAUUCCUAUAGAAUUACAUAUAAUUAAUUAGGAAUAGAUUCAAUUAAUUAUGUAGUUUGGUGAGCAAGAUAUAUAUAUGUUGCUACUUGCUAAUGGCAAACAAACUUGAGAGUAUGUAGCAUGAUUUUGUUUGCAUUAUAAUUAUGUUCUUCCAAAUAAUACUCUUUGUCCUAAUAAUACAACUUCAUGAUUUCUCCACAUCACUCUUUCUCAACACGACAUAUAUAAUUUUCCUAAGCUCCUCCCCAUGAUUCAUAUUAGUCCAGCUUUGUUGUUUUGGUCGAAUUAUUAGUGAAACAGUUGAAACUUGAAACUUGGGGAUGCAUUUACUAUCGCUGGAAAAAUUAUCAAGUUUGAGAGUAAGUUAUUUUGUUUUACAAAUAACAGAUCGAUAGUAUAUAAUGAACAAGGCUACAAAGAAAGGGAGAAGAUAUCUUAUUUACUUGAAGUAGUGACAUACACAUUCAAAAUUUCAAAUGUAUAGAAAUUGCACAAUCUUUAUGUUCAAGUGGGAAUUACUGUAGGGCAUUCCACAUUGACAUUGCCUUCCAGUUGCUGUGAAUUUCAAACAACCCUUGAGAAAGGGGUUGAGAAUAACUUCAUAGUUCCAAUUGAAAUUUGAGGGGACGACUCAGUAGCUAGUUCAUUUUCAACAAUGUAGUUUCAGUGAUUAUCGCUGCAGAAUCAGCUUUCCAGGCCAGACUAGGUAAUAAAGCAGAAAUGUCUUGUCAUCCCAGAACGAAUCAAACCAGCUCCAUCUGCUCUAGGAUACAGCUUUCCAGUGGAGAAAGUCUUGGGUGAACUCAAAGUCGUGGGAGAAAACUUUGGUGAACCUCUGAAAAUUUGGCUACUUGCUACCACUGUUUAUGGUACAACAAGUUGAUAAUUAAACAACCUAAAAUGACAAGGGAGCCAUAUAUCCAUUUGAUUCAAAAUCUUUGUUGUUGUAUACCUAGUUAGUGUUUGAGAAACUUAUGUUCGACCUCAAAAAUUGUAUGAAAACGUGUAUUGUAGCCCUAUUCUUUUUUUGGGGAUGUAAGCCUGAAAGUUCUUCUAUUCUUUUACCUGAACUUUCCGGUAAUUUAACUCCUUCGAGCAACGCAAGUGAGUAAUGCGGUACUCGACAUUUCGAACUCGGAGCUCAUCCAUAUGCUAAAGAAACAAGCUUGAAUGAGAAACUGGGAAUGGUCCUCACAUUACUUUAGUUGUUAGGGACACGAGUGAUUAACAAGCAUCUUCAUCAGGAAAAAAAAAAAAAAAA
rnacentral:lncRNA from 1 species